rnacentral:lncRNA from 1 species
UGAUGCAUGUCAACUGCUUGAAUAAAUCAGGUAGUGCAGCUCCAAGCGAAGAGUCUCCAGUGUGGAUCAAGAGGCUGCGAAGACCUUUUGCUUUGUGAAUGGACUUGGGAAAAGAGGUCACCGCUAAAUGACGAACCCUUUCAAUUGAAGUCUUCACUGUUAGACAUUCAUUUUUUGUCAUAUAUUGGGCAAAAUCAUGCACUAUAUCAUGCAUCUUGAAUCUCAUUCCUUCACGAUCACUCUUCUCAAAAUCUUGGAAGAAAGAGCGCGUUGCUAAGACUUGAAAGUACUGCUCUCCUACAAGCUCCAUAUCUCCACCUGAAGUCUCCUUGAGGUAACCUUGAGCCAUCCACAUCUUCACCAAUUCAUCUUUGUCCAUCUCGUAGUCUUUUGGAAACAUGGCACAAUACAAGAAACAUCGUCUUACCACAGAAGGUAAAUCGUAGUAACUCAAAAGCAAAGGUGGAAAUAGUCCUCUUUCAACAUGUUCUAGCUCCCACAGUUCGCUAGAUAAAACAUGUUCCCACUCUUCUCUUGUUCUUUUAGACUGCAUUAGACCUCCUAAUACCUUGGCAGCUAGAGGCAAGCCCUUGCACUUGCUUGCAAUUUUGUCGCCGAUUUCUGUCAAUCUUUCGCACUCAUCUUUGCUUCUUUUAUGGAAUGCCACCUGAUUGAAUAUUGACCUGCAUACCUCAUCAGACAAUUUCUCAAGGUUGAUCACGUGGUCAGUUCCUAUCAUGGUUGCCACAGAAUGUUUACGACUGGUCACUAGAAUUCUGCUUCCUGUUGCACCGCCUUUGAGAGAUAGUUUCAGUGGUUCCCAUUGUCUAUGAUUUUCUGUCCAGACAUCAUCUAGGACAAGAAGGAACCUCUUUCCCUUAAUUGAUUCAGAAACACUUUGCAAAAGGGAUUCCAAUUCAACUAAAUUCGGUGCACCCCCUUGAAGCGCCUCAAGGAUAGCUUUUGAUAUCCUAACCUCAUCGAAUGGAUCUGAUACACACACCCAUAUCUUUUUCUCAAAAUGAGCCGUAACCCGAGCAUCAUUAAAAGCUAGUUGGGCGAGAGUUGUCUUUCCAAUCCCGCCCAUUCCUACUAUAGAGAUCUCCACGUCCCCUGCUUCCUGAAUACUUUCGCCCAGCAACUUGCUUACUACAGCUUCCCUUUCAUCAUCUCGACCACGCACGAUUGAUUCAUCAACAAGGGAGGUACUUGUUAUUCGUUGUAGUUCAUCAGUGGCUCUGUACAACUCAAAGCCAAACAUAGCUCUCUCUUUGGUAAUCUCAUCCACUUUUUCACAUACUUCUUUGAUCUUGAGGGCAAUGUCGCGACGUCGAGCCACUUGAUUGAAACAAAAGCAAGGAGAUCCCAGGAAGGAACAUCGCAUCUUCUGUAGGCUGCGAGUAUUUUCUUCAACUUCCUCCAUUUUCCAUCUAAGAAUUGCAGUGCUCCAUUCAUCUAGCACGUCAUCCAUAUCAUAGCAUACAUCUUUGAGCUUGUCUGCCCAAUCCCUUACAGCCUUAUCCUUCACUUGUUUUCUAUCUGCAUCUUCAAGGACAGAUUGGAUAGCAAGGAGAUUGCUUUUCAGCUUGUCGACUUGUUUCUGCACACCCCCUACUAGGUUCACUUCUUCCUGUACCUAUUGGUGUAGAAAAGACCAGAAAGUUCAAGCAGAGGAAACAGUUCUAUGAUUUCACUACAAGUUUUUAAUUUUAAUUUUUGGGAAUUAAUAGAUUAAAUAAUUUUUAUUAAUCUUUUUUCCGCAUAGUUCACACGUACAGUGAAUUGGAUUGGCUAUAUUAUAAAUUCAUAUAUAAAAUAUUUAUUAAGAACCUAUAUAUUAAAAAUAAUAAUAUUUCUUUUUAUCAUCAUCAUGAUGAUAUCUCUGUCUGCACUCUGCUACUAUACAAGAAAGGAAAAAAAUGAAUCUUAAAUUGUUCGACGUCAAACCUGUAUAUAACAUAAGCUUGGCGGAUCAAAGAAAUAUAAAAGGAAUAAAAGGAAAGUGAAUAAAAGGAUCUGUAUUUGUUGUUAUUUGUAAAGUCUAUAAUAAGAUUAUGGAAGAAAAAAAAGACUUAAAUUUUUAUAUUUCUUAUCAUGUUACGGUUAAUUCGAUCAUUGCAAAUUGUAUAAAAGUAAUUACCUGUUGAGCAACGACCGUGGUUAACUGCUCCAAAAUUGGCGAUAAAAGUGCCUCUGCCAUUUGUCUUUUUGGUUUAAUUUUAUUUUUAAAAAAGAGAUAAUUAUGAUGAUGAACUGAGAGAGAGAGAGAAGAGUGUGAGGGGAAGGAGGCUGCUGGUUGUGAAAUGAAGAGAGAGGGUUAGUUUAUGUACUUGGGGUUUGGUGAUGAGGGUUGACUAUUGUUUCCAUCCCUGUACUGUUUCUAACAUUUCAAUUCAGUCCCUGUAUUAUUGAACGUUUCAGUCUAGUCUCGGUCAGGGGUUUCCAUCUGCGGAUGGCUUUUCCUGAUUGUAUGUUUCUACUGAGAAUGACAUGCCAUUUUGAGUUCCAAAGGUGAAACACUCGUGCUUUUCUAACUUUUCCUGGCUAAGGAUUAUUAUUUGUGGAAAGUAAUUUCUUCUUCGAUUUAUAGCAAUUAUUUUGGAUUGAUACUGACCUUAGGUUAAGAAUGCUGUAGUUUCUACUGAAAUGUAUCUGAUACAGACCUUAGGGACAACUGAUUAUAGCAUUCUUCUCGUCUGCUUCUCUAUUUCUUCUCUUCAUUUUAUGUUAUUCCACUAGUCUUCCAAACUGGAUCACGGUGAUAUAUAUCUGUCCAUCCAAACUAAUUUACCCAAACCAAAAGUAGUAACCAAUUAGCUCGUGUAAUGGAACUAUAAACAAGCAUCUAUCUUUCUGGGUUUUUGAGAUCAGGUGAUUUUAUCCUGUUUUCAUAGCAGGGACUGGGGUUUGAUAUUGAUCUUUGAUUUUACCCAAACCAAAAGUUUGAAAGGAUUGCUGGUUUGUGUGAUUGGAGCUCCUUUCAAUGGGUGUGAAAAGGCCAAGAAAUGAGCAAGAUUUUCUGGAGGAAAGGAUUCAUAUUGUCUGGACUCAAUCACCUUCCUUUCUUCUUCUUCUUCUUUCUGCAGGAAAAAAGUAGAGCAGAGCAACCCUUUUUGACAGAGGCUAGUAAGUUGCAGAAGUUAGUAAGAAGUGGAUCAUUGAGCAACCAAAUAGCCAAGAUGUCUUAUUUCAAACCCAAGUACAGAUGAAUGCCGUAUUUUUAUUUUUCUAAGGAACUGCAUAUUUGUCCCCCCACUUCUUCUUUUUCUGUUGAAACAGCGACAGGGUACGUGUACUCUAGAAAAUAUUUAGAAUGGAAACAAAUAGAAAGUAGCUUAAAAUUGUGAAAAUAUUGUUUUUAAAUUGUUUAUUUCAAACCUAAUUAAUAAUAUGUUUUUGUUUUAGAUAGUUUUUGUGAUUCUGAUUUGAAAAAAAAUAAGUUUUAAAAAAGUACAGCUAGCUGUGAUUAAUUGAAUUUAAAUACGUGUUUAAUAAAAAUUAUGGUUAAAGUUUAUGUAUAAUAAAAAAUAUGUAUAAAAUAUUUGAUAGUUAUGUUUGAGACUGUGGUUGUGAUUGUUUUUUAAAGUGUUUUUUACAUUAAAAUAAUAUUUUUUUAUUUUAAAAAAAUUAUUUUUGAUAUCAGUGCAUCAAAAUGAUCUGAAAACACCAAAAAAAUAUAUUAAUUUGAAAUAAAAAAAAAUUGUUUUUUACCAGUAAAUCAAAGUGUUUUUUACCUCAUUUUUCCUUGAUUAAUUCUAACUACGAAACAGCUACUGCACCAACAAGAUGGAAAAGGCUCACCAAGAUGUUCUCUUUGAAAAGAUUCUCAAUGAGUCGUUGACAUCUCAUACUUGUCUAAAAAUUUUAAUCUUUUUUUGGAAAAGAUUCUCAGUGAGUCUGUCUCCUGGCUUAUUGAUCAACACUUUUAUCAUAUUGUGAACAAACAUGUCAAUUUCCAGAAUUUUAUUGAGUAGGAUGACUGUAUAGAAUUACUCUGAUUUAUCAACACAUAUCAAAUUCUUGCUGCUGCUGAGGAAGAUAUCCUGCACUUAGCCAUCAUAGAGGGUAGCAAGGUUUUGUGUUGAUGGUAAUUACACUGACUCAUCGUCUAUCAUCUAGAAUUCAAUUUUAAAAAAUAUUGCAAGAAAUGUUUUUUUUCCUAAAUACAUCGAUCGGGUGUGGAUAGAUUGAUUACAAAGCGACUUCCUAAAAAGUCUUGGUCUUAAUAUGCAAAGAUGAUCCAAGUAUGCCAUAUAUUAUUUUUUUAAAAUAAAACCCACAUAUCUAGUCCACGCAAAGGUACUCGAAUAUGGAUUUGUAAAAAUAAAAAUGAAUAUUUAUACGAAAUUGAAUUGUGCAAAUAAAACCCACAGAUCUAGUCCAUGAUCUACGGCUCCUCCAGAGUUCCGUAGUGGUGUCUUUCUCAACUAUUCUUUAAAUAAAAUGUUUGGGAUGUGAGAAAUCUUGUGCCUAUCUUCACCCCUCUCCUCCUUCCCGUAACGUUUCCUUAGAGAAUUUAUGUAGAGGCGCUGUCAAAACAUAGGCCGGUAGUGCUCUCAACAAUGGGCAUUUGAGAAUUCUAAACUCACAAGUUGUGGCAUGAUGAAUAUUGAAGUCGUGGUGGAAUCUUCUUCUCCCACUCUCCUUUCAAUCCCAUCCCACUCUUCUAGUUCUUUGAGAUGCCAAAUGCUGAGUUUUUUCAAUUUAGGGAAAGGAGAGUGGUAGUUUUUUCAAUUGGGGCAAUACUCUUCCAAUUCUCUUUCACUAAUAUUUAUUGGUGGAAAAAAUCACUGAUAGUAGUUUUAAAACACUCAAAGAAAAUAAAACAUAUUGUUUUAUUUCAACAACAAGAAGCUUACAAUAAUUAAACAAAAGCUUUUAAUACACACCCUCUUUUUCUCUCUAGUGUUCAUCUCUUAUCUUUCCCACACACAAUUACAUAAACUUACCUAUCUAUUUAUACACAAAUUAAAAGUAAAAAAAAAAAAAUCAAACUUCAAGUGUGAAGGCGGCUGGUGGCUAAACAGUGGGGUCCUUUUGUAUUUUGUCAAAAGAGAUGAAAUUAUAAUCAAUGAUGAUGAUAUAUAUAUAUAUAUAUAUAUAUAUAUAUAUAUAUAUAUAUAAACUACUAUGUGCAUUCUAUAAUUUAGUUAUAUAAUACAAUAGAUCUUUACAAUUAGUGAUUUCAACUUACCAAUAGAGAAAUUAUAGUAGAUCUUUACUAUGAUAUAUUCAAAAUAAAUAAAUAAAACAGGUAUACUUCAACACGCAUAUUAUACAUACACUUCUUUUUUAAAAAUUAAUCAUAAAAAAUUGAUUAGUUAUUUAUUAUAAAAAUCAGACCUGUAAGUUAUAUCUAAAUCAUUGAAAAUAGUAAAGGUAAACUAAUUAGAAGAGACAAUGUAUUUCAAAUUAGUUAAUUUAUAUAGAAUUAUUUUAGUUACUAAAUUAAAAAAUUCAAAUUUUUAUAUCACUUGGAAUACAUAAGGUGGAUUUAAUCCACAAAAUCGAUGGGUGAUAACCUCUAAGAUAUCGAUGGGUACAUAUAUGGUGGAUUUAAUCCACAAAAUCAAUAAGAGACCAAUCGGCUAGCUCCAAAAUCAAACCAUCUCCACCUCAUUCAAACACGAUUUAAAAUAAUCAACACCACCUUUUUAUACAAUGUGGGAUUAAUGAGGAUAUAAAUCCAAGGCUCCAACAUCCAAAGUCUCAAUCUUAGAUUUAUUAGCUAGUAUAGCAACGCCUCAUUGGCAAGAACCCAAAUCACUAAGCUCAAAUUACUAAUAAAAAUUAUAAAUUUUCAGAUAAUAUUUUUAAUAUUUAAUCUUUCUAGCAAUUGAUGAUAGCAAUUGCAAAUGAAUAGAGGAGGAAGCAUCGAGAUCAUUGGCUUGUUUGAAGGCAAAUGGACCCUUUGAUCGUUAGAUGAUGCAUCUAAAUGAGGCUCCACAUUAUAAAAGCGUAAUUAGGUGGCACGCGCUAUCCCACAAACUCACCUUAGAUUUUCAAAAUAAAAUUAGAUGGAGGAUCCAUGUCUAUUUGGGUCCUCCCUAGACAGGACCCCAACAUAUUCGGGUCCAGUAACGACCAGGUCCAAGUCUAGCGUUGGGCUAGGUUGGGUAGGACCCAAGGUUAUUUGGGUGUACCUGGCAGAAUCCAAGAUUGUUUUUGAGUCCUGCAACUAAUAAUUAUAUGUAAUUUCUAAAUGAAACUAAAUGUAAAAUUAAAUAUAAUUUGAUAAAAUUAUUAUAAACAUUUGGUAAAAUUAGUAAAUGAUAUAACAUUUUCUUUCAAAUUCAUCAAUUAUUUAAAUAUUAAGUACAAAAAAUACUCUUAUGAAUUUUGAUAAAAAUAAUAAUAUUUAUAAUACAACUGAUAACAUUUUUAGUAUUAAAUUAUUAAUUAAUAUAAAUAAUAUUAUUUAUAACACCAAAAAUAAUAAUAUUUUUGAGAUUAAUACUAUUAAUUAGACUAAAAAAUAAUAUUAAUAAAACAAAUAAUAAUAUUUCUAAUACUAAUACUAUUAAUUAUACUAAAAAUAUAUAUUAAUAAAAAUAUAAAAUACUCUUAAUAUUAAUUAUACUAAAAAAAUAUUAAUAAAACAAAUAAAUAUUUUAAUACUAACUUGUAAUUAUACUAAAAAUAUGGGCAGCCCAAGCGCUAAGUGAUGCUUGGACUACACUCAAGAGAAAUCAUAUUAUUUUAAAAUAUUUGUCCACUAAUUGCUAUUGAAUUUAAAAUAAAUAUACUUUUAAAACUAAUAUAAAGUUACCAAUAGUCGAUUUGAUAGCUGCUUGCAUAAAAUCUCAUUGAAUUUGGCCAAUGGUUUUUUAGAAUAAAGUAAAAAAAAAGUUAUUUCAAAACAUAACCAAAGUAGUUUUAGUUAUUUGUCAGAAACUAGUAUAUCCCAUAAAAAUCAGAGUUUUGGAUGAAAUAAAAUCAAUUCUAAAAUCAAACGCCGAUUGAAGCUUCAACGCAUUUGUGAACUAGAGAAUUUAAUUAUUAAACUCGUUUGUUUCGCGUUCAAAAAUAUUUUAAAAUUAUUUUAUUUUUUAUUUAUUUUUUUGUUUUUUAAAUUAAUAAUUUUUUUAGUAUAUUUAGAUCAUUUUAAUGUGUUUAUAUAAAAAAUAAUUUAUAAAAAAUAAAAAAAAUUAUUAUUUUAAUAUAUUUCUAAUAAAAAAUACUUUGAAAAAUAAUUAUAAUAAUACUGUCACACAUGCUGUUUAAUGUUUGUUCAAAAAUUGUGCUUUUUAAAAUAUGCAUUCUAACGCAAAGAAAGCAUAUAAAACACAUCAAAGUUGCAAAAGUACGUAGUUUUAAUUAUUAGCAAAAGUAUUCUAAAAUAUGAAAAGAUAGGUUUAAAUACCCUAAAUAUCCGUAAAUAACUAGAAAAAAAUUAAUAAAACUAAAAUCCAAAAUUAUCAAGGCAAAAAUCUAAAAUAUGGUCUGAAACUUCAAAGGCAAUUUUUUUAGAGUGGCAUUUGGAGAAUUUAAGUAAGGAAAAAGCUUCACGUGAGCGAGAUAAUAUCAUCUUAGAUUAAUUCUUUAACAUGUAAAAUUUAAGUCUAAUUCAAUAAUUAAAUAAAAAAUUACCUCUUCCUGCCGGUCUUAACUAUUCUUUAAAUAUAAACAUAUGAAUUACAUAUUAUUUUAUAUAUGUUGAGAGAGAGAGAGAGAGAGAGAGAGGAUGUAUACUAUAUAUAUCACAGCUGCCUUUGAUAGAAUAAAUGGUAAGUAGGAAAUACAAUCCAAAGUCAACAUUAUACAGUAAAGAGGUAUAUGAAACAUACCUCGUCCUGCCUGUCCUACAGAUUAUGGUAAGUCGGAAAUCGAAUUACAGUAAAGAGGUCACAUAGAGUAAAUAGUAAGGCUUACAUAUUAUUUACACUCAACCUUAGCAAACACCAAAGCAAAUAAUUAAUACACUCAGAACCAAAUCUUUUACCGUUAAGAAUUAACACUGGUGGAAGAAUUUAUCAUCAAAAUAAAUGUUUGGGAUGUGAGAAAUCUUUUGCCAAUCUUCACCCAUCUCCACCUCCUUCCCGUAACGUUAGAUUGGGGCAACCAUAUGCGUAGAUCCUGUAUAGGCGCUGCCAAAACAUAGUCUGGUAGUGCUCUCAACAACGGGCACCAACGAAUUGUCAACUGUCGAAGUUGUGGCAUAAUGGAUAUUAUUGAAGUUGUGUUGGCAUCUUCUUCUCCCACUCUCCUUUGAAUUCCAUCCCACUCUUCUACUUCUUCGAGAUCCCAAAUCUCAAGUUUUUUAAUUUGGGGAAAGCAGUGACCCUUGCAAUUUCUCCUUCCUUAAUACUGGCAUUCUCAUCUUUUUCUAUACCUAAAAAUCCACCAUCCAGCCUUCUCACCUUCAAAAGUACCAGGUGUUCAAGGUUGGGCAAUCUUCCCAACGGAGGCAAGAACUCCACGUUUUCACAAUAACGGAGUGUCAGCACCUGUAAUCUGGUCAAUGUCAUCAUCCAAUUUGGCAAUUCCAACCCUCCGUAACAAUAUAUGCUUAGAUCUUCCAAGUCUGACGGAGGCUGCAAAGCUUCAAUUAAAGAGCCUUCAUGCUCUGGCAACACUGUUUUCUCUCCGAAGAAAUUCAAUACCAAACGAAACAGGCGCUUCUUAUUCUUGAGUUGUGCUUCUGCAGCGUCACUCGCAUCUUCUUUACCUCCUCCUAGAUUCCGUAUCUGAAGACUCCCUCCAAUGUGAUUUAAGUUUUUUAAUUCUCUUAGAUUAGCUGCUUUACUUUCAUUCUCACCACCACCACACACAGUAAACACAUCUAAUGUACCAACAGGUGUGUGGCUCAAGUGGUGAAGGGGGCAGCUCUCCUUUCAUCGAACCCAGGUUCGAAUCCCAGUGGGAGUGGGGCUGGAGAGUUUGCUCUCUUCCUAUUUCUCUUGGGUCCUCCCUGUGCGGUAUCCCUGUCACCCCCGCGGUGUCUUACCUGCUCACUAGGGCUUGCAGGAUGUUCAGUGGGCCGUGGGAUUAGUCGUGGUGCGCGUAAGCUGGCCCGGACACCCACGUUAUCAAAAAAAAAAAAAAAAAAAAAAAAACACAUCUAAUGUUUAGUUAUAUAAUUGAUCAUCGUGGCUACAAAAUGAAGUGGAACUAAUAAUUAAUGGAGUGGAAUACUAAAUAAAAUGAAUUGCUAUGUGUAUUCUAUAAUUUAGUUAUAUAAUAUAGGCAGAUAUGUACAAAUUAGUCAUUUCAACUUAUCAAUAAAGAAAUUAUAAUAGAUUUUCACCGUGGUAUGAUCGCAAUAAAUAAAAUAAAAUAGAUAUAUCUCACAGCAUUAAUAAUUUUUUAGUUUUUGUUAAACAAUGUCAACAUAUAUAUAUAUAUUAUACAUACACUCAUUUCUUUAAAAAUAAUUAUAAUAAAAUUAAUUAGUUAUUUAUUAUAAAAACCUGACCUAUGAGUUAUGUCUAAGCUGUUAAAAAUAGUAAAAAUAAAAUAAUUUGAAAAUAGAAUUAUUAAUUAAUUUAUAUCAAGUUGUUUUAUUUAUUAAAUUAAAAAAUCCAAGUUUUAUAUCACCUAGAUUACUUAUGUUGGAUUUAAUCCAUAAAAUUGAUGGGUAUCAUCUCUUAUAUAUGAAUCGAUGGGUAUCAAGUUACAUGCCAUCUUGCAAAUUAGAAUAAUAGACCACUCGACUGGCUCCAAAAUCAAACCAUCUCCACCUCAUUCAACACGAUUUAAAAUAAUCAACACCACCUUUUUAUACAAUGUGGGAUUGAUGAGGAUAUAAAUCUACAGACUCCAACAUCCAAAGUCUCAAUCUUAGAGUUCUUAUCUGGUAUAGUAACGCCUCAUUGGCAAUAACCCAAAUCACUAAACCCUAAAUCACUAAUAAAAAUUACAAAUUUACACCGAAUUUGAACAAAUUUCUACCAGCCGAUGUCACUAAACUCAAAUUACUCCUAAAAAUCUCAAUAUAAACCCAUUAACUACUAGACCAACAACUCAUUGGCUAGAAUCCACGUUGCUUUUCCACAACAAUCAUCAGCUUCUUCAAUUAGGAUGCUACAAGCCCUUGUCUAUAUACUAGCUUAAAUUGCAACAACCUUUGAUUCCGAGAGAAGUUUGGCCUGAUCCAACGGUAGUCAAUGCGUGCUCAAUCUGUACUAGCUUUCUGGUAGGACUGAAAGUAGUGAGAGAAAAGGAGUACUGGCUAUCACCCAUGGUUUAUUGCUUGAAGACGCAGAGAGGAAAAACUGCGAAUGCGAGCGUGUGGGAGAGAAAGGCAAGGAUAUUUACUUGGGGUUUGAACUUUGCUUUUCUUGUUGGAGAAGGAGGAGUUUUCUUACGAGGGCUUUUACAAUGGAGUAUUUUGGGCUUUUAUGACGGCAGGUUGGUUCUCUUUACAUUGAGCUCAAUGAAGGCUUUAAUUUUUUAAACUUAACUUUAUCCGGGUCAGUUCACGGGAGAAGUUUAAUUUUUUUUUUUUUAAGAAAAUAAAAUAACAUUAUUUUUAGUACUUUUUUAAAAUGAUAUUUUACCUGAGUCCACAGGCGAUGUAUAAAGUUUUUUUUAUUUAAAAUAAUAUUUUUUUUUUAUUUUAAUAUUUACUUACUAUUUGUAUACUAAAACAGUAAAACAUGUGAGAUUUUCACUUUAUAUUUGUUACUGUGCAAAAUUUUAUUUUUUAGUUUAGUCCUCAAACUUUAUUUUUGAACUAUCAAGUCCUAUUUAAAAAACAAUUGAUUUUAAAUUCUGAUAAAAAAUUUGGAUUGGAAGAGAGGAACUGAAAUGAAAAACACGAUAGAUAUGGGUAACGCACCUUAAAUUUUUAAAACAUUCUCUUUGGUCUUCCAACUUAAACAAUCACACAAAUUAUAUAAUUUUGGUACCUCAAAAUUGUUCCAAUUCCAUUUUGGUGCGAAGAUUUAUUUUUGUUAUUUUCUAGUUCCUAAUUAAGAGAGGAGAGAAAGAAAGGGGUCACUAGAUUCCAAUAAUAAAAAGAGAAACUUGUCGUUGACACCAACUUAAACCACUAAAAUAAGGGAUCUUUAUGUCAAAUUAUUAGGGGAGUUCCUAUUAGAUGUUUUUGUAACUUAAAAGUUCAUGAAAAAAAGGAUCUAAACUCGGGUUAAUUUUUUUUAUUUUAGACUGUGUUUGGUUUUUUAGGCAGUUUUUUGGAUCUAGUAUGGUUUCCCGAUCCAAGUACCUAGGGUCUGGCAUAGUUGCUAUAAAAAUAUAACUUUAAAGAAUAUAAUUAAAAACAAAUAAAGUGACGUGAUUAGUUAAAAACUAAAAAUAAUAAUAAAAAAAAAGACUUAACCUCAUUUUUUUGUUGUUCAGAAGGCUUCUUUUAAAUAAUAUUAAUUUUUUUUAUGAGUUUAAUUUUCAGAGAGGUUUUCUAGUGUAUUUAUGGUUUUGUUUGUCUUUUAUAUAAAUAAAUUAUAUUUUGAAAAUAACAAAAUAUUUAUUUUCAGAUAAUAUUUUUAAUAUGUAGUCUUCGUAGUGAUUGAUGAUGCCAAUUGUAAAUGAAUGGAGGAGGAAGCAUCAAGAUCGUUAGCUUGUUUGAAGGCAGAUAGACCUUUGAUCAUUAGAUGAUGCCUCUAAACGAGGCUCCAUAUUAUAAAGGCAUAACAAAGAGAGGAUGAGAGAAAUAAUUAUAGACCAGUUAGGUGGUUUGUGCUACAUCGCGGGCUCACCUUUAAUUUCUAAAAUAAAACUGGGUGAGUACCCAAGUCUAUUUAGGUCCUUUUCAAAUAGGAGCCAAGCAUAUUUGGGUUCUAUCGCGGCCAAGCCAGGUAGGACCUAAGGUUAUUUGGGUCAUGUACCUGGCAGGACCCAAGGUUAUUUUUGAGUCCUACAACUAAUAAUUUGUAUUUAAUUUUUAAAUAAAACUAAAUGUAAAAUUAAGUAUAAUUUGAUAAAAUUAUUAUUACAAUACAUUUGGUAAAAUUAAUAAAUGAUAUAACAUUUUCUUUCAAAUUCAUAAAUUAUUUUAUUAAUAAUAUUAAUUACAAUAAAAUAUACUCUUAUAAAUUUUAAUAAAAAUAAUAAUAUUUAUAAUACAACUGAUAAAAUUUUUAGUAUUAAUAUUAUUAAUUAAUAUAAACAUAAUAUUAUUUAUAACACCAAAAAUAAUAAUAUUUUUGAGAUUAAUACUAUAAAUUAGACUAAAAAAUAAUAGUAAUAAAACAAAUAAUAAUAUUUUUAAUACUAAUACUCUUAAUAUUAAUUAUACUAAAAAAAACUAUUAAUAAAAAAAAUAAUAUUUCUAAUACUAAUAUUUGGAAUUAUACUAAAAGUAUGUACGGGCAGCCCAAGCGUUAAGUGGCGCUUGAACUGCACUCAAGAAAAAGCAUAUUAUUUUAAAAUAUUAUUUGUCCACUAAUUGCUAAUAUAAAUACACUUUUAAAACUAAUAUAAAGUCACCCAGAGUCAAUUUGAUAGCUGCUUGCAUAAAAUCUCAUUGAAUGUGGCCAAUGUUUUUUAGAAUAAAGUGAAAUAAAAAGUUAUUUCAAAACAUAACCACAGUAGUUUUUAAUUAUUGGUCUAGAAACUUUAGUAUAUCUCAUAAAAUCCAUGAGUUUUGGAUGAAAUAAAAUCAAUUCUAAAAUCAAACUCCGAUUGAAGCUUCAACUGCAUUUGUGAGCUAGAAAAUUUAACUUAUUAAGUUAGGUUUGUUUUUGCAUUUUAAAAGCGUUUUUAAAAAUUUUAAAUUUAUUUUAUUUUUUUCUUUGCUUUAAAUUAUUUUUUUUUUGUGUUUUUAGAUCAUUUUGAUGCGCGAAUAUCAAAAAUAAUUUUUAAAAAAUAAAAAAAAUAUUAUUUUGAUAUAUUUCUAAGUAAAAAUCAUUUUAAAAAGUAAUCACAACAAUAUUUUCACACAAUCUCUUCAAAACUUGUGCUUUUUAAAACAUGCAUUCAAACGCAAAGAAAGCAUAUAAAACACAUCAAAGUUGCAAAAGUAUGUAGUUUUAAUUAUUAGCAAAAGGGUUUAAAUACCCUAAAUAUCCGUAAAUAACUAGAAAACAAUUAAUAAAAAAAUAAUAAAACUAAAAUCCAAAAUUUUCAAGGAGAAAAUCUAAAAUAUGGUCUGAAAUUUCAAAGGCAGCUUUUUUAGAGUGGCAUUUGGAGAAUUUAAGUGAGGAAUAAGCUUCACGUGAGCGAGAUAAUAUCAUCUUAGAUUAAUUUUUUUAACAUGUAAAAUUUAAGUCUAAUUCAAUAAUUAAAUAAAAAAAAUUACCUCUUCCUGCCUGUCUUAACUAUUCUUUACAUAUGAACAUAUGAAUUACAUAUUAUUUUAUGUUGAGAGAGAGAAAGAGAGAGAGAGAGAGAGAGAGAGAGGAUGUGAGAGAGAGAGAGGGGUGUAUAUAUAUAUCACAGCUGCAUUUGAUAGAAUAAAUGGUAAGCAGGAAAUACAAUCCAAAGUCAACAUUAUACAGAUAUUUGACUCACAAUAAAUCAUCCAUACUCUUAUAAAAAAUAAAGAUGGGUAAACUCUUAAUUAGGCCUUGCUGCUGAAUUUUGUUGUUGAUUUGUAAUUUAAUUAUUGUUGAAGAUUUUUUGUGUUGGCAACCCAAACUAUCAUUGUGUUGGGUUUGGAUAACUUUAUUUGGAUUUAAUCUCCAAAAUCGAUGGGUAUCAUCACUUAUAGAUGAAUGGUUUAGCUUCUCUCAUUUUUUUGGAUUUAAUCCACUGAAACUGAGGUUUAAGAAUUUCUUGGAUUUAAUCCACUGAAACAGUUGCUUGAUCAAGAUCAUUGGCUUGUUUGAAGGCAGAUAAAGGCUUAAAAAAGAAGAAGCAAAUAUCAUCUUAGUUGAAAUUUCAAAGGCAAUUUUUUAGAGUAAAGAGGAAAUAAUUAAUACACUCAAAGCAGGUUCUAAAGAGUUCUGUCUUUCUCACCAAACAUGCAAAUAAAUCUUUGGGAUGUGAGAAAUCUUUUGCCAAUCUUCACCCAUCUCCUCCUUCCUACAGCUGUAACGUUUCCUUAGAAUGGGGCAACCCCUUAUCCCCAAUGCCUGCAGAGGCGCUGCCAAAACAUAGUCUGGUAGUGCUCUCAACAAUUGGCAAUAUUCAAUUCCCAAGUACUGAAGUUGUGGCAUAAUGGAUAUUAUUGAAGUUGUGUUGGCAUCUUCUUCUCCCACUCUCCUUUCCUUCCCACUCUUCUACUUCUCCGAGACCGUCCAUCCAAAGUUUUUUUAAUUUGGGGAAAGCAGUGACCCUUGCAAUUUCUCCUUCAUUAAUACUGGCCUUCUCAUCUUUUUCUAUACCUAAAAAUCCAGCAUCCAACCUUCUCACCUUCAUUGAGCUCAAUACCAGGCUUUCAAGGUUGGGCAAUCUUCCCAACGGAGGCAAGACCUCCACGUUUUCACAAUCACGGAGUGUAAGCUUCUGUAAUCUGGUUAAUGUCAUCAUCCAAUUUGGCAAAUCCAACCCUCCGUAGCUAUACAUGGUUAGAUUUUCCAAGUCUGACGGAGGCUGUAAAACUUCAAGUAAAAUGUCGUUCUCCCGGUUGAAGUCAAAAUCCAAUUGCAAACAAAGCAGGCGCUUCUUAUUCUUGAGUUGUGCUUCUGCAGCGUCACUCGCAUCUUCUUUACCUCCUCCUAGAUUCCGUAUACGAAGACUCCCUCCAAUGUGAUUUAAGUCUUUUAAUUCUCUUAGAUUAGCUGCUUUACUUUCAUUCUCACCACCACCACACACAGUAACACAUCUAAUGUUUGAAGACAUGUUAUCCUCUCUACUCCCUUUGGUAUGAAGGCCACACCUGAAAGAACAACCCGGAGAUGCCUCAAUUUGAUAAGUUUUCCAAUCGCAUUAGGCAAUUCCUUGAGAGAAGCACACAGAGUAACGUCUAGGGAUUGCAGAUUGCAUAAAUCACACAUGGUUUCUGGCAGGGACUCCAACUGAUAACAAGAUGCCACAUUGAGGUGUCUCAAAUGUAUCAAAUUCCCUACCUCGUUUGGUAUUUCUUUGAUUGAAGACCUUGUCAAAUUCAAUGACCUGAUGCAUGUCAACUGCUUGAACAAAUCAGGCAGUGCAACUCCAAGCGAAGGGUCUCUAGUGUCCAUCAAGAGGCUGCGAAGACCUUUUGCUUUGUGAAUGGACUUGGGAAACGAGCUCUCCUCUGACAGCAUCAUGCUUAAAUGACGAACCCUUUCAAUUGAAGUCUCCACUGUUGCUUUUCCAAGUUUACUGGCAUCCACUGUUAGACAUUCAUUUUUUGUCAUAUAUUGGGAAAAAUCAUGCACUAUAUCAUGCAUCUUGAAUUUCAUUCCUUCACACCAAUCCAUCUCAAAAUCUUGGAAGAAAGAACGCGCUGCUAAGACUUGAAAGUACUGCUCUCCUACACCCGAAGUCUCCUUGAGGUAACCUUGAGCUAUCCACAUCUUCACCAAUUCAUAUUUUCCCAUCUUGUAGUCUUUUGGAAACAUGGCACAAUACAAGAAACAUCGUCUUACCACAGAAGGUAAAUCGUAGUAACUCAAAAGCAAAGGUAUAAAUAUGCGUCUUUCAACCUGAUCUCUAUCAACCUCAUCUAGCCUCCACAGUUCGCUAGAUAAAACACGUUCCCACUCUUCUCUUGUUAUUUUAGACUGCAUUAGACCGCCUAAUACCUUGGCAGCUAGAGGGAAGCCCUUGCACUUGUUUGCAAUUUUAUCUCCGAUAUCUGUCAAUCUUUCGCACUCAUCUUCGCUUCUUUCCUGGAAUGCCACAUGAUUGAAUAUUGAACUGCAUAUCUCAUCGGACAAUUUCUCAAUGUUGAUCCGGUGGUCAGUUCCCAUCAUCGUUGCCACAGCGUCCUUACGAGUGGUCACUAGAAUUCUGCUUCCUCGUGCACAGCCUGUGAGAGAUGGUUUCAGUUGUUCCCAUUGUCCAUGAUUUUCUGUCCAGACAUCAUCAAGGACAAGAAGGAACCUCUUUCCCUUAAUGGAUUCAGAAACCCUUCGCAAAAGGGAUUGCAAUCCUACCAAAUCAGAUGCCCUCCCUUCAAGCUCCUCAAGGAUACCUUUGGCUAUUCUAACCUCAUCAAAUGGUUCUGAAACACACACCCAUAUCUUUUUCUCAAAAUGAGCCGUAACCUCAGCAUCAUUAAAAGCUAGUUGGGCGAGAGUUGUUUUUCCAAUUCCGCCCAGCCCUACUACAGAGAUGACAUCCACGUCCCGUGCUUCUUGACUACUUUCAGCCAGCAACUUGCUUACAACAUUUCUCUUUUCACCAUCUCGACCAAUCACGCUUGAUUCAUCAAACAAAGGAGGUAGUUGUUAGUCGCUGGAGUUCAUCAGUGGCUUUGUACAGAUCAAAGCCAUACUUAGCUCUCUGUUUGGCAAUGUCAUCCACUUUUUCACAAACUUCUUUGAUCUUCAGGGCAAUGCCGCGACGUCGAACCACUUGAUUGAAACAAAAGCAAGGAGAUCCCAGGAAGGAACACCGUAUCUUCUGUCGGCUGUGAGUAUUUUCUUCAGCUUCCUCCAUUUUCCAUCUAAGAAUUGCAGUGCUCCAUUCAUCUAGCACGUCAUUCAUAUCAUAACAUGCAUCUUUGAGCUUGUCUACCCAAUAUCUUACAGCCUUAUCCUUAACUUGUUUUCUAUCUGCAUCUUCAAGGACAGACUGGAUAUCAAGGAGAUUGCUUUUCAGCCUGUCGACUUGUUUCUUCACACCCACUACUAGGUUCACCUCUUCUUGUACCUAUUAGUGUACAAAAGAUAAGGAAGUUCAGGCAGAGGAAACAUUUCUAUGAUUUCACUGCAAAUUUUUAAUUUUAAUUUUUUGUAAUUAAUAGAUUAAUAAUUUUUUUUAAUCUUUUUUUCGCAGUAGCUGACACGUACAGUGAAAUGGAUUUGCUAUAUUAAAAUAUAUAUUAAAAUCCUAUAUAUUAAAGAUAAUAAUAUUUCUUUUUAUCAUCAUCAUGAUGAUAUCUGCCUGCACUCUGCUACUAUACAAGAAGGAAGAAACCUAUAUAUAACAUAAGCUUGUUGGAUCAAAGAAACAUAGAGAAUGAAAGGAUCUGUAUUUGUUGGUAUUUGUAAAGUCUAUAGUUUUAAAGUGAAAAAUAUUCUUCCUUCAUAACACUCACUAAUUAUUUUAACAUUUGAUUGAUUAUUUUACAGUUUAGUGAGAGGAUCGACAACUACUACUCCUUUUUCCUUCUAAGGAUAUUUGUUUUAGAUUAUUUCCGGAAAUAUGAAAAACAAUAAAACAAUAAAAAGAAAUUUCUUUAAUAAAAUCCAAAUCUAGAUCUGAGGAUUUGAUAUUUUAUUUUAUUUUUCUAAUAAAGGAAGAAAAAGAGACUUCAUUUUUAUAUUUCUUAUUCAUGUAAGGGUUAAUUAGAUCGUUGCAAAUUUUACAGUUAAGCAGUAGUUUGCUGAUUGAAAUGACUGUAAAUGGAUCCCAAUUGGAAACUGUCAUAAUUGAACUGCGAGCUCCGUUUUAUGUUUCUUCAGAACAUCAGUUUCCAUCGUGAUGCCUUCUUCCUUCAUCAAAAAGUGGGCAAAAUCAUAGGAGUAUGUGUCGCCUCUUCAACUUUAAAGAGUCCUCCUUCUUUUCUUGAAAAUCCUGGAAAAAAAGCUAAGAUUUUGAAGUACUCCUUACCAGCCAGCUCCAUUUGAUCUGUAUGGAAACGGACAGCUCUCCAUCAAUCAGCAACGGAGGGGUAGGGAGGUGAAGAAGAGAGGGAAUAGAUGAAAUCCCUAAUAGUAGCUUGGUGUUUUUUGUUCCAAUGACCAAACCAGAUAAUGUACGAGUUGACAGGUGCAGCCAGAACAGGCCCCUAGAAAAGCAACUGAAGGUCUACUACAUCAGAUGACCCUUCAUAGUUCUUGGCCCGGUUGAAUAGGUCGUCUAGACAAACAAAACAGAGAGAGCAAGAGUACAUUGUGUAGCAUAAGCUUAUUAUGCAUUUAAGUCUUUAGACUUUUUUUAUUAUUAUUAUUAACGUAGGUGUCCAGGUCAGCUUCCGCGCACCUUGAUUAAUCUCACGGGCACAUUGUCAGAAAUUACAGCAAGAAAUUCUGUAAUUAUUGUAAGAAAGAAGGGCAUGUAAUCAAGGAAUGUCGUCUGCGACCACAAAAUCGACAAGGAUUUACUGUGCAGUCGAAAUUGGGGGCUGCUUUUAUGGCCGCCGAAGCCGUGUCCUCACCAUCGACACUGGAAUCUUCAUCGUCGGUGAGCUCUUCGUCGAGCACUCUCACUCCCGAGAUGGUGCAGUAGAUGAUAAUAUCUACCUUCUCUGCACUCGGGAUUUCUGGUAAGAAAAAUAAACUUAACUUUCCCUUAGAUUCAGCACAUAAUAAACAAUGGUUAAUGGAUUUGGCAUCGUCUAAUCACAUGACCAACAGUGAAAAUGGGUUGUGUAAUGUGCUAAAAUACAUGGGUAAUUAGCAUAUACAGGUAGCAAAUGGUGAUAAUCUGCCAAUUUUGUCGAUUGGUAAUUUGGGGUCUUACUUCAAUAAUAUUUUUGUGUCACCAAAAUUAUCAACAAGUUUACUCUCUGUUGGUCAAAUGGUAGAAAAUAACUGUGAAAUUCACUUUGAUCAUCAUGGUUGUUGUGUGCAGGAUCAAGUGUCGGGGGAAGGUAAUCGCGAAGGGGCCUAAAGUGGGACGUUUAUUUCCAAUACAAUUUUCUAUUCCUAGUAUUAAUUCUUGUGCUUAUUCUACUCUCAUUCAUAAUCCUCAUUUUUGGCAUAAGAAAUUAGGGCAUUCUAAUUCUAAUGUAUUGACUUAUCUUAUGAAACAUGGAUAUUUGGGGAAUAUAAACUCUUUUUCAACAGAAUUUUUGGAUUGUAGUUCUUGCAAAUUGGGUAAAAGCAAAGCAUUAUCAUUCCCUUCACAUGGUAGUUGUGCUUCUAAAUGUUUUGAAAUUAUUCAUACUGAUGUAUGGGGCAUAAGCCCUGUUAUCUCUCAUGCUAAGUAUAAAUAUUUUGUCACGUUUGUUGCUACCUAAUUUUUGAUAAAUUUUCAGAAAAAUCAAAAAUAGCAAAAAAAACAAAGAAAAACCCAAAAAUAUAUUUUUGAUGUAUUUGCAUCGUUUUUAGCAUUUUCAAUGCCAUCUCAAAAGAAUUUAAAUUUUUAAAGGAAUUUUGGAACGCGUUCAACUUUUAACGCGUAAAAUUUUAUGAUCACUGAUUUUUAUUUUUGAGUUGACGGUGAUAUUGCUCGCUUUCGAAAACACAAAAAAAGAGAGAAAAUCAAAAUUUAAGAAAAAAAAGAGGAAAAGUUGAGGGACCAUUGUGAUUUUGGCCAUGCCACAUUUCUCCUAUAAAUACUAAGCUACAGUAAUGAACCAAGGGGCGAAAAAUAGACACAGGGAGAAAAAUGGUUUCACGGGGGAGAAAUUUACAUGGGGGGAAAGGCAAGUAGAAAAAAACCCUAAAGCCAAAAAAAAAAACCUAGAAACUAAAAAAACCCUUUCUUCCCCGGCAGCCGCCCUUGGCCUUUGAAAAAAACCUAGAACUAAUGAUUUUCUUCCUUAGCCACAACGCUGACCUCUCUUUUUGAAAAAGGGAGGAACAGACCGCCGCUGCAGAGUCUUUGAAAGGAAAAAGUCACCUGGCUAGGCGUUUCAAACAGCCCCGCCUCUCCUCUCUCCUUUUCUUCUCCCGAAACUAGCCAAAACUGACCCUCUCACUCUCAGCACAAAGCAGCCGCCCCCUUUACCCCCAUCUUCUUCUCCCUCAACCGACAGAUCUCACCCUCCAAUAGCAACCCCUCUUGCACGAAAAAACCCAGAGAAACCGUCCCUAAGCUCUCCAUUUUCCCUGCAGGAGGAGAGAAACCCACCGGACACAAGCCUUCUCCAGGUCUCCCCCGGAGCCGCCGCCCCCCAUCGUCUUGGAUUUGUUUCUCUCCCGAGACCAGCCGGCCACUCAUUUUUUCCCUUGGCUUGCUAAACAAAGCGGAGAAACUGGAGAGCAUCAGACUGACCUCUCUCUCCCUCGGCCGACCACCAUCAACCGGUCAACAGCAGCAUCUUCCCUUCUCCUGCAGCUCGUUACAGAGACAAUGAGAAGGGAGGCCAGAGGAUAGUGAAGAAGGGGCAGAAAACCGAAGCUUGGAUGGGCGCCGAUCUCGCAACCAUGGCAGCGGUGGACAACACCACCGUUGCAGAAACGAAAUGGGAGGAAGGGAAGUUGCUGAUCCAGCCAUCCACACGCCUGGUCUGUGGGCGGCGCGUGUAACGCCCAGCUUCAGAUUCGGCAGAUUUGAAGAAAAGAGAGGAGAAGCAGAUCCGAAAACAGUGAUUGAAAAAUAACUAAAAUCAGCUGGCUUUUUGUGCUUUGAUUUUUCUUUGCAGGUCACCACCGGUGGAAGAGGGGAUGAGGCCGUUGAAGACCCCCUGUGUUGUGUGGAUUUUUGCGGCGGCGCGUGGAUGCACGCGCCGCUACUGUUCAGGCAGCUCCAAAAAUUGUUUUCCUGAAUUUUUGGGACUAUUCUGUAAUUUUCAAUUAUGUGAUGUAAUUUUUGUUUAGUUUUGAAUUUUUUAUUUGUAUGUUGUGAAUUUGAAUGUAACAAAAAAAACAAAAAAAAAAGAAAGAAGAGAAAGGAAAAGAAAAAUAAAUAAUAUAAAGAAAGUUGUGUGUGUGUUUGUUUUUUUAUUUAUGUUAUUGAAUUAUAAAAAUAAAAAAAGGACAAAAAGAAUUAUUUGUUUAAUUUGAAUAUGGUUAAAUAUUUAAGGACAAAUAAAAUUAUGUUAUAUUUUCUAUGAAAGUGUAAGAACAUGUUUUUACACGUAUUCAGGGAUUUAAUAAUUGAUUUAUUAAAGUCUUAGAAUUUGAUUAAUAUUUUAAAUUUUCAAAUCAUAUCAAACCACGAAGCAGCUUAGCUCAGGUAGGGUGCUGUAGGGGUACUAAUACCUUUUCUAGCCACAAUCAGUCCCUUACCCUAGAAUCUCUGACCACGACCAGUAAAUCAUGGUUUUCUAGUAACCCUCUAUUAAAUACUAGGUGGCGACUCUCAAAGAACCAAUCAAGCAAAGACAACGAAAAAUUGCCAAAUCACCGCGUGGGGGACGUGCGACAAUGUUUAUUGAUGAUUUCAGUCGUUUCACUUGGAUAUAUUUUCUUCGAUCUAAGACUGAUUUAUUCUUAACAUUUCAGGCUUUCGUUGUAUUUAUUGAAAAUCAAUUUUCUACUCAUAUUAAAAUACUUUGUUCUGACUCCGGGGGGGAAUAUGUGUCCAAAGAACUUCAGGAAUAUCUCAAAAACAAAGGGAUUCUCUCUCAAAGAUCUUGUCCUUACAUUCCUUAACAAAAUGGAGUUGCUGAGCGUAAGAAUCCUCAUCUUUUAGAUGUUCGCACCUUAUUAAUUGAUUCUUUGGUACCUACUCGAUUUUGGGUAGAAGCACUGUCCACAGUCGUUCAUCUAAUUAAUUGUUUGCCUUCACAAGUACUAAACUUUGCAUCUCCAUACUCUAUUUUAUUUGGUGUUAUUCCUAAGUAUGAUUCUCUCCGUGUUUUUGGGUGUGUUUGUUUUGUUCACUUACCAUCUACUGAACGUAAUAAACUUUUAGCCCAAGCUGCUCGUUGUGCUUUUCUAGGAUACAAUAAUUUUCAUAAAGGAUUUGUGUGUUAUGAUGCAAAUGCUCAUAAAAUUCAUCUCUUGAAAUGUAAUUUUUUUUUUAAAUCAGAAUUUUUUCCCUUCUUAUCCCUCUACAAAAUCCACUCCUAUCCAACUUCCCACAUUUGAUGAUCAUAGUCCAUCUUAUAUCUUUGAAUGUUUUAAGCCAGGAAUUGUAUAUCAAAGACGUCAUCCACCAUCCAUUUUGCCCCUUCCGGACACGAAACCGGCAUCUGAUCAUUCCCCUCAACUAAGACGAUCAACUCGAGUUUCACGUGCCCCAAACAGGUAUGGAUACUAUCAGCAACUACUAUUGAUAGUACUUUUGUGCCUAAGACUUAUGCCCAGGCUUCUACCCAAGACUGUUGGCAACAGGCCAUGAAAGAGGAACUUCAGGCUCUUCAGGAUAAUCACACAUGAGAUAUUGUUUCUUGUCCUACCGGAAUUAAACCUAUUGGCUGCAAAUGGCUAUACGAAAUUAAAGCACGGUUGGUGGCUCUUGGAAAUUGUCAGGCAUAUGGUAUUAAUUAUGAGGAGACAUUUGCACCUGUGGCUAAAAUGACUACCAUACGAACCAUUAUGACAAUUGUUGCUUCCAAAAGAUGGCCACUUCAUCAAAUGGAUGUAAAAAAUGCAUUUUUACAUAGAGACUUGAAAGAGAAUAUUUAUAUGACUCCUCCUUCUGGUAUGUUUACUCACUCAUCCGAUAAAGUCUGCUGGUUGAAACGGUCCCUGUAUGGUCUAAAACAGGCACCCCGGGCAUGGUUUGAAAAAUUUCGCACUACUCUUUAGAAACUUAAAUUUAUUCAGAGCCAAUAUGAUUCCUCUAUGUUUCUUCAGCAAACUACUACUGGUAUUGUUGCUCUUCUGGUAUAUGUUGAUGAUAUUAUCAUUACAGGAUCCGACAUUCCACUCAUUGAGGAUUUACAACAUUCUCUUAACAGUGAAUUUCAUAUGAAGGAUCUGGAACACCUUCACUAUUUCCUUGGUCUACCGGUGCACUCUAUGUCCAGUAGGAUUUCUCUACAUCAGCACAAAUACACCCAAGAGAUUCUUCUUUUGGGCGUUCUUGAAUCAGGGAAUAUCGUUCUUACACCUCUCGAGAUUAAUUUAAAACUUUGUCAUAAUGAUGGUGACCUGUUACCUGAUCCCUCCAUAUACAAGCAGUUGGUGGGCAGUUUGAAUUAUCUAACCAUUACUCGGCCAAAUAUUUCUUUUGUAGUACAACAAGUCAGUCAAUUUUUACAGGCUCCUCGUCAACCUCAUUUAGCUGUUGUCCGAAGAAUUCUUCGCUAUCUUAAAGUCACAUCUGGGCGAGGAUAAUUUUUUCCUGCUGAUAAUUCAUUACAAUUAACAAGUUAUAGUGAUGCAGAUUGGGCAGGGUGCGUGGAUACACGUCGGUCUGUUACUGGGUGGUGUAAGUUUCUUGGAAAUGCUUUGAUUUCAUGGAAAAGCAAAAAGCAAGACCGAAUCUCAAAAUCUUCCAUAGAAUCUGAGUAUCGAGCUAUGUCCUCCGCAUGUUCUGAAAUUGUGUGGCUUCAGGGUUUGCUACGUGAACUUGGUUUUCCUCAGCACACUCCUACACCUCUUCAUGCUGAUAACACAAGUGCUAUUUAGAUUGCUACUAAUCAUGUGUUUCAUGAACGCACCAAACAUAUUGAAGUUGAUUGUCACUACAUUCGUGAAGCUUUUGAUCAUAAUAUUCUUACACUACCUUAUAUUUCCACCGAGCAUCAGACAACUGAUGUCUUUACGAAGGCCUUGUCUCGGCCUCGACAUCAACUCAUGAUAGACAAAUUGAUGCUUCUUGAUCGGCUAGCAUCAAUUUGAGAGGGGAUGUCAUUGUAUAUUAUGGCAAGAAUAUCAAUACUAUAUGGCAACCAAAUUGUAACAGAAUAUCUUGUAUUUAUUAUAGACUACAAAUCAGGGAUUAGAGACAGUAAAUUAGUGAUUAUUACAUGUAUUUAGAGGAUUGAAUUCCUCCUUCUGAAGUCAUUAAUUGAGAGAACAAUUUUACAUUGAAAUUUGAUAUUUGUGACAUGUGACUUGGUGAGAUUCUUCAUUUAUUAUUAUUUCCUUGUGGUGGACACAAUGGUUUACGUAGAUGAACUGAAUUCUUGCAUGACAACAACAAAAUAAGUGUGAUUCAGCACUGUCAAGAAAAAGGUAGAGCAGAGCAACCCUUUUUGACGGAGGCUAAUAAGUUGCAAAAGUUAGUAAGAAGUGGCUCAUUGAGCAACCAAUUAGCCAAGAUGUCUUAUUUCAAACCCUCGUACAGAGGAAUGCCGUAUUUUUAUUUUUCUAAGGAACUGCAUUUUUGUCCCCCUCUUCUCCUUCUUUUUUCCUGUUGAAACAGCAACAGGGUACAUCUACUCCAUGUCAAAGUCUAGUCUAUAACCAGACCAGUAAAGAACAUUGACUUACAAGGAGUUCCAUUGAAGUUUCGAUUAUGAGCAGGCAUGCUUCUAUCCCAAUUUACCACUCUGGGUCAGAUUUCACACUUAUCAGAGCACUGUGAUGACAACAGCAGAAACUAUCUAAUUUCCCACCAAACAUAAAGAGAGCUUUGAAUCUACACACCCGCCAGUUAUAAUCAUUCAAGACAGAUAUGUUAGCUAUAGUUAAGGCCAGAGAGAAACACAAGCUAAAAAAAAAUGCACCUUCUAAUUACCGAGAAGCAUGCAGAAAAAAACCUGUAGACAACUCCAAUAUUGGGUGUCAGAUUCUGUAUUUUCUGAACCUGAAACAACAAGCAAUUAAAUACCAUCAACAACCAACUCAAGUUCUAUACUAUCUUGCAAGUUAUAUACCAUCAAUGAAAUAGUUUUUAUUUAAAGGGAUUAAAAUGACAUCUUUUUACCAAAAUUGUUUUUUCCAAAAAACAUUCAAUAAUAUUUAACCAAGUUUUACCCGAGUCCAUAUAAUUUGAAAGUAAUAAAUCAUAUCAAAUUUCUUUAAAUUAUUAAAUUGGAUCCUUAAUUUUCAAUUCGUCAAAUUAUUAAAUUGGAUCUUCAAUCUCUUUUAUAGGGGGUUUGGUGUCACUGCUUAACUUAAUUAUGAUACUAUAUAUAGUGACCAUUUGUGAUAAUUCUGUUGCAGAUUAAAAAUAUUUAGCGACAUUAAAAGUGUCGUUAAAUAUAUUUUGAAGAGCCAUUACAUGUUGUUUUUUGUUUUUUGUAGUGCAACGAUAGUAAAACAUUAUGUUAAUUUUAGCAACACACCGUGACCAAAUCCAAUGAAGAAACCUAAUAAUCAAAGAAAAUUAGAAAUUUUAAAAUUGAUAUUGGAUUUUUAAAGAUUCAGAUAUUAGGUUAACAUCACAUUUACUAUAACCUUUUAAAUAAAAAAUUAUCAUUGUUUAUGUUUUUCUAAAUUAUUUUAUGCUAUUAUAUUUUUAUUUAUAAUUUAUUUAAGAAUAGACACCGGUUUCUUAGAAUAAAAAACUUGUAAAUUUUUUUGUCAUCCCUAAAAACCAAAGAGUCCAUAGCUUGUCAUUUUAUGACACUAGCCUUGCUAUGUAUAUAUAAUCUCCACGGUUAUAAAAACCAAUAUCUAAAUAGAAGAUUUCAUUAAUUUUUUUACAUUAAUCCCUGAAGACAGUAGAUUUUGUAAUUUCUUGAAUUUUAAUAAAAACUUUGAUGUUAAUCCCUUAAGAUAGAAGAUUUCAUCACUUUUUAAGAUUUAAUGAAAAUUUUGAUGAUAUUCACUAAAAUAGAAGAUUUCAUCAUUUUUUUAAUUUAUAACAAAAUUUUGACGUUAUCUCUAAAAAGUUUUUGUUGUAUAGUAAAAUGGUUUUUAUACAGUAAAAUCCAGUUCCCAUACAGUAGUGUAUAACCUUUUCGGUUUUUAGUAUGGUUUGUUUCUUUGGCUGCUUUUCCAAGAUAAAGUCUUCAUCCGUGAUUUCUUGUUUCAGCAUGAUUUCUUUUCUCUUCAGCAAGCUAGAUGUAUGUUUUGUAAAAGAAGAUUUGAAACUUCAAGCCAUCUCUUCAUUCAUUGUGUUUUUGCCUGGAAGUUAUGAAUGAAAUUCCUAUUUUGGUGGGGGAAUUAGUGAUUCUUUCCCAAAUUCUAUUGAUGAUAUAAUCUACAAAUGAUGCAAGGAAAAUUUCAGAAUCUUUCAUGAUGACAACUUCUCUUUUCUUGUAUUGCAUGGAGUCUAUGGCUACAUUGAAAUGAUGUAAUCUUCAAUGAUGCUAUUCCAGAUCUUAAGGGUUGUUUUUACUUUAUCGAUCCUCCACAGGUUCUCCUUAUGGUUGAAGUUUGAUAGCACAACUUUUGCUUACACCGGUUUGGAUUUAGGGAUCAACUCUGAUGGGAUCUUUUUCGGGGAUAACAGAAGUUGACUUCUUGUUUUUAUCUAUUGUCUGGUCCCUGUUUUCUUCUUCCUGUUAUAGAGUAGAUACCGUGAUUUAGGGAUCAACUAAGGUUCACUGUUGGUUUCUAUGCAAGGCAAGAUUGAGAGUUAUGUGAAUAUAUGAGUUGGAAGGUUAGAGUAAAUGCUGGAUGGUAUUUUUUAUUUUUCCCUCUCAUUGGCGCUGCUCACCAAUAGCUCGGGUGCAUUUGAUGCUGAUGGAGAUGGAACCGAAGCUUAUAUAUUCAGCCACUUCACAUGCUUUUUUUCUUUUAACAGUCGAGUGUAUUAUAAGAAAAUGGCUAAAAAGAUAAUAGCCUAGCAUCCAGAAGUUCUAGCUGACCACAAAAAAAAAAAAAAAAAGCAAACAAGCUUUAGAGGUUUUGAAACAGGGGAAGGAAAACAGUGUGGGAAAAGGAAAAAAACAAUUGAAAUCAGCUCCUCCUUUUUACAAAACCAAUGCCAUCAUAGCUGUUAUGAACAUCCUCGCCAGCAGAGUCUGGAGAAUUGGUAUCAAGUCUCAGCCAUAAUGAGAAACUGCCGAAGAUCAAGGAAAAACAGCUUUGAAGGUUUGGAGCAGCCCUAUUAAAGAUGAUAUCUCCAUAGAAAACCAUUAGUAGUACAUAUCAUCAAUCGAUUUUGUGAAAACAUUGAUAAUACCCCACCGUGAAGGAAUUUCAUUCAUAGAUGCCAAGCAAAGUGGCAGUGGAUGAAGAGGUGACUUGAAGAUUCCAGGUUUUUAUUACAAAAAACACAUCUAGAAGCCACUUCAGAUGCUCAUGAUGAUAUUACAUGUUUCUUCUCUCUGAAUUCAUACAAUCUUUCUUUCAUACACUUCCAUAUUUUUCAGAAAAGAUUGAGGAUGAAGAUACACCAAAUUUAGAUUGCAUCAGAGGUUGCAGUCACUAUCUUUACACGGGGUUGGCUUUUUUUACUUGCUAAAGAUGGCUAACUGUAAUUAGAAUGUUUCUUCUUUUCAAAGUAAUAAAUCUCUGAGUCCUUACAUCUCUAGUUAAUUAUAACUACCUUACCGGUCAUAAUGCUCUUUUCUAUACCUGAUGAAUGAUAUUAUUUCUGAGAUUUUUGAACAUGUAAUGACGGAAGCCUGCGGUGGAUUGGUUCCCUUUGUUACGUUACUGGAGUCGCAAUGUUUCGAGGUAUCUGACCAAAUUAAUUCUCUUGCUUUUUGCAGCAAAUCUGUAUCUCUUGCUACUUGCUAGAGGCGUACUCCCAGGCUACCACUGUUUUGGUGUUGCCUCUCUUACCAUUGUUAUUAGGUUGAAUUAAUUAAAUACCAGAAGAUUUCUGGAUGUGUAAUGACUGUAUGAUUAAACUUACCAGUGCACUGUCAAGGCUGUGGCGCAUGAACUUCAUUCGCGGGCGUGCGUCACCACUGUUCCACCGUGUGCCGUCGCAGCCUUCACCAAUUCCAGUAGCUCCAGUUUUUUUCUCCAUUGCCUCCAUUGAAGGUCCAAUUUUCGAGCUCACAAAACAUGACAUCUUGAGUUUAUUUUUCACGAAUUAUGUUUGUGUUUUGACAAAUCCAACAAUUAUGAUUUGAUUUAGUUGUUUCUAGUUAUGGGACACAAUGUUGUGUUUUUUUAUUAAAAAAAAGAAGAAAAGAAAACAGAGAGAAUGCUAAAAAGAAAGUCACAGCUGCAUGUGAUAGAAUACAUGUAAGUAGGAAAUAAAAUCCAACUCAAGAAUAGAUUACAAAUGAGUUCAAUCCAUUUACAGAAAAAGGGUAUAUAGAAUAUAUUUGUCUGAAGAAUCCCCUGUCUGGAAGUUCUUUGAAUGGGGCUGUGAUGGCAUUUAGAAAGCACAAGCACUAGGGGUCUUGUCUUUCACUAGCAGAAACAUAUUUAUUGUUGAAGAUUUUUUGUGUUAGGUUUAGAUAACUUUAUUUGGAUUUAAUCCACUAAAUUGGUGGGUAUCAUCUCUUAUAGAUGAUACUUUAGCUUCCAAGUCUACCAUUCUCUCAUUUAUUUGGAUGUGUUUUGUAGGGUAGAUAUGGUUGUUUUUCAAAAUGUUUUUUAAUUGAAAAUGCUUUAAAAUAAUUUUUUAAAUAUCAGUUUUUACAUCAACAAUAUAUCAAAAUGAUCUAAAAAUAUUUAUAAAAAAUUAAUUUAAAAUAAAUAAAUAAAAUUUAAAUUUAAAAAAAAAACAAAACACUUACACAAAAACAAAUAGAAUCUUGCUGUGAAUAACAGAAUUUGGUGCUAAAUUUCUUGUUGUGAAUUGCAGAAAACAGUUGCUUGAUCUGCACUAGGAUGGCAAUAGCAAGGUAAUGGAGGAUGUGAGAAAGGUAUAUCCAAGUCGUGCUUCUUUUUUGUAUCUUUCUCCUCAUCCACUAACUCUUGCUUCUUUUUUUCCCGUGAAAAAAUGGAGAGCCGAAAAUAGAUUUGUUAAAAAAUGGAGUUCCUGCAGAUUCCAAUUAAAGAGUUCUGUCUUUCUCCUGUAAUCAUCAAAACAAAUGUUAGGGAUGUGAGAAAUCUUUUGCCAAUCUUCACCCAUCUCCUCCUCCCCGUAACGUUUCUUAAUGGGGCAUCUACUUAUGUCCAGUUCCUGUAGAGGCGCUGCCAAAACAUAGUCUGGUAGUGCUCUCAACAACGGGCAAUUUCAAUAUCAAUCUCGAAGUUGUGGCAUAAUGGAUAUAUUGAAGUUGUGUUGGCAUCUUCUUCUCCCACUCUCCUUCCAAUUCCAUCCCACUCUUCUACUUCUUCGAGAUCCAAAUCAAGUUUUUAAUUUGGGGAAAGCAGUGACCCUUGCAAUUUCUCCUUCAUUAAUACUGGCAUUCUCAUCUUUUUCUAUACCUAAAAAUCCAGCAUCCAACCUUCUCACCUUCAACGACCUCAAACCAGGCUUUCAAGGUUGGGCAAUCUCCCAACGGAGGCAAGACCUCCAGUUCACAAUAACAGAGUUUAAGCUCCUGUAAUCUGGUUAAUGUCAUCAUCCAAUUUGGCAAAUCCAACCCUCCGUACCUAGAUAUGGUUAGAUUUCCAAGUCUGACGGAGGCGUAAAGCUUCAAUUAAAAGCCGUUCUUGCCGGCUCUGUGUCGAAACCAAUAGCAAACAAGCAGGCGCUUCUUAUUCUUGAGUUGUGCUUCUGCAGCGUCACUCGCAUCUUCUACCUCCCCGUAGAUUCCAUAUCUUAAGACUCCCUCCAAUGUGAUUUAAGUUUUUUAAUUCUCUUAGAUUAGCUGCUUUACUUUCAUUCUCACCACCACCACACACAGUAAACACAUCUAAUGUUCGAAGACAUGUUAUCCUCUCUAUUCCCUUUGGUAUGAAGGCCACUCCUGAACCAUAAAUCCGGAGAUGCCUCAAUUUGAUAAGUUUUCCAAUCGCCUUGGCAAUUCCUUGAGAACCACACCAAGUAACGUCUAGGGAUUGCAGAUUGCAUAAAUCACACAUGGUUUCUGGCAGGGACUCCAACUUAACAAAUGCCAAAUUGAGGUGUCUCAAAUGUAUCAAUUUCCCUACCUCGUUUGGUAUUUCUUUGAUUGAAGACCUUGACAAAUUCAAUGACCUGAUGCAUGUCAACUGCUUGAACAAAUCAGGCAGUGCAGCUCCAAGCGAAGGGUCUCUAGUGUCGAUCAAGAGGCUGCGAAGACCUUUUGCUUUGUGAAUGGACACGGGAAAAGAGGUCUCUUGACAGCAUCAUGCUUAAAUGACGAACCCUUUCAAUUGAAGUCUCCAUUGUUGCUCCUGAAGGUUAUUGACAUCCACUGUUAGACAUUCAUUUUUUGUCAUAUAUUGGGCAAAAUCAUGCACUAUAUCAUGCAUCUUGAAUCUAAUAUCUUCUGAUCAUACGUCUUAAAUCUUGGAAGAAAGAGCGCGCUGCUAAGACUUGAAAGUACUGCUCUCCAACAAGCUCCAUAUCUCCACCUGAAGUCUCCUUGAGGUAACCUUGAGCUAUCCACAUCUUCACCAAUUCUAUUUCCCAUCUCGUAGUCUUUUGGAAACAUGGCACAAUACAAGAAACAUCGUCUUACCACAGAAGGUAAAUCGUAGUAACUCAAAAGCAAAGGUAGAAAUAUUCCUCUUUCAACCUGAUCUCUAUCAACCUCAUCUAGCCCCACAAUUCGCUAGAUAAAACACGCUCCCACUCUUCUCUUGUUCUUUUAGACUGCAUUAGACCUCCUAAUACCUUGGCAGCUAGAGGCAAGCCCUUGCACUUGCUUGCAAUUUUUCGCCGAUAUCUGUCAAUCUUUCGCGCUCAUCUUUGCUUCUUUCCUGGAAUGCCACAUGAUUGAAUAUUGACCUGCAUAUCUCAUCGGACAAUUUCUCAAUGUUGAUCCGGUGGUCAGUUCCCAUCAUCGUUGCCACAGAAUGUUUACGAGUGGUCACUAGAAUUCUGCUUCCUGGUGCACGCCUGUGAGAGAUGGUUUCAGUUGUUCCCAUUGUCCAUGAUUUUCUGUCCAUACAUCAUCAAGGACAAGAAGGAACCUCUUUCCCUUAAUGGAUUCAGAAACCCUUUGCAAAAGGGAUUGCAAUUCAACCAAAUCGUGCCUCCCUUCAAGCUGCUCAAGGAUAGCUUUGGCUAUUCUAACCUCAUCAAAUGGAUCUGAACACACACCCAUAUCUUUUUCUCAAAAUGAGCCGUAACCUCAGCAUCAUUAAAAGCUAGUUGGGCGAGAGUUGUUUUUCCAAUUCCGCCCAGCCCUACUAGAGAGAUGACAUCCACGUCCCGUGCUUCCUGACUACUUUCCCAGCAACUUGCUUACUACAGCUUCCCUUUCAUCAUCUCGACCAUCACGAUUGAUUCAUCAACAAGGGAGGUACUUGUUAUUCGUUGGAGUUCAUCAGUGGCUCUGUACAACUCAAAGCCAUACAUAGCUCUCUCUUUGGCAAUCUCAUCCACUUUUUCACAUACUUCUUUGAUCUUGAGGGCAAUGUCGCGACGUCGACCACUUGAUUGAAACAAAAGCAAGGAGAUCCCAGGAAGGAACAUCCAUCUUCUGUAGGCUGUGAGUAUUUUCUUCAGCAUCCCCCAUUUUCCAUCUAAGAAUUGCAGAGCUCCAUUCAUCUAGCACGUCAUCCAUAUCAUAACAUACAUCUUUGAGCUUGUCUACCCAAUCUCUUACUGCCUCAUCCUUCACUUGUUUUCUAUCUGCAUCUUCAAGGACAGAGUGAAUAGCAAGGAGAUUGCUUUUCAGCUUGUCGACUUGUUUCUUCACACCCACUACUAGGUUCACCUCUUCUUGUACCUAUUAGUGUAGAAAAGAUAAGGAAGUUCAAGUAGAGGAAACAUUUCUAUGAUUUCACUGCAAAUUUUUAAUUUUAAUGUUUUGUAAUUAAUAGAUUAGCAGUAGUUGACACGUACUGUGAAAUGGAUUGGCUAUAUUAAUAAUUUAUAUAUAAAAUAUUUAUUAAAAACCUAUAUAUUAAAGAUAAUAAUAUUUCUUUUUAUCAUCAUCAUGAUGAUAUCUGUCUGCAGUCUGCUACUAACAAGAUGGAAGAUAAUGAAUCAUAAAAUUGUUCGACGUCAAACCUAUAAAUAACAUAAGCUUGCUGGAUCAAAGAAAUAUAGAGUAUAAAAGGAUCUGUAUUUGUUGGUAUUUGUAAAGUCUAUAGUUUUAAAGUGAAAAUAUUCUUCCUUUAUAACACUCACUAAUUAUUUUAACAUUUGAUUGAUUAUUUUACAGUUUAAUGAGAGGAUCGACAACUCCCUUUUCCUUCUAAGAAUAUUUGUUUUAGAUUAUUUCCGGAAAUAUGAAAAAUAAUAAUAUAAUAAAGAGAAAUUUCUUUAAUAAAAUACAAAUCUAGAUCUGAGGAUUUGAUAUUUUAUUUUAUUUUUCUUAUAAAGGAAGAAAAAAGACUUCAUUUUUAUAUUUCUUAUUCAUGUUAGGGCUAAUCAGAUCAUUGCAAAUUGUACGAAGUAAUUACCUCUUGAGCAACAAUCCUCGUUAACUGCUCCAAAAUUGGCGAUAAAAGUGCCGCUGCCAUCUGUCUGUUUAAUUUAAUUUAAUUUAAUUAUUUUUGAAAAAGAGACAAUGAUGAUAGGAUGAACUAAGAAAGAGAGAGAAGAGAGUCUGAGUGGAAGGAGGCUGCUGGUUUAUUAGUUAGUUUAUGUACUUAGGGUUUGGUGUGGAGGGUUGAGUUUUGUUUCAGUCCCUGUACUGUUUCUAACACUUCGAUUCAGUCCCUAUAUUAUUGUAGCUUUUCAGUCUAGUCCUGGUUGUAUGUUUCUACUGAGAAUGACAUGCCAUUUUGAGUUCCAAAGGUGAAAUACUCGUGCUUUUCUAACUUUUCCUGGCUAAGGAUUAUUAUUUGUGGAAAGUAAUUUCUUCUUCGAUAUAUAGCAGUUAUUUUGGAUUGAUACUGACCUUAGGUUAAGAAUGCUGAAGUUUCUAUUGAUUAUAGCAAUCUACUGAAAUCCCUGCUUCUCGUCUGCUUCUCUAUUUCUUCUCUUCAUUUUAUGUUAUUCCACUAAUCUUCCAAACUGGAUCAUGGUAAUAUAUAUCUGUCCAUCCAAACUAAUUUACACAAACCAAAAGUAGUAACCAAUUAGUUCUUGUGUAAUGGAAAUACAAACAAGCAUCUAUCUAUCUGGGUUUUUGAGAUCUGGUGAUUUUAUCCUGUUUUCAUAGCAGGGACUGGGGUUUGAUAUUGAUCUUUGAUUUUUGGGUCCGAAAAUGGAUGGUCCAGAUUUGUUGAGGUUGUAUGAUUGGAUUUGUUGAUGGUGCUUGAGAUGAUGCUGUAAAGUAUUUUCUUAUAUAUUUUCUGAUUUUCUGGAGGAAAGGAAAGGACUACAUCACCUUCCUAUCGAUUUUUCUAUCUGCAUCCAUAUACAUUUUGCAAUUAAGUCAUUAUGCUUUAAACUCAUUCCAUGUGCCUUCCCUUACAAGAAAAAAAAGAAAAAGAAAAAACAAGCCCAGGGUACUCAGCUUGGGCUUGGGUUCCCUCAUUAUGACUUGGUGAAUUGGGCAAUCUAAAUACUUUUGGGCUCUGUUUUAAUGGGUUCCAAGGGGAAGAAAACACAACGAUUCUUGAACAAGGAUUUGUGUCCCGUGCGCACUUGAACGAUGGGGGUCUGUUUGCAUUUUGUCAAAAGAGAUGAAAUUCUAAUCAAUGAUGAUGAUGAAAAAAAUAAAUAUAUAAAUUACUAUGUGCAUUCUAUAAUUUAGUUAUAUAAUAUAGUAGAUCUUUACAAAUUAGUAAUUUCAACUUACCAGUAGAAAAAUUAUAGUAGAUCUUUACCAUGAUAUUAUCGAAAUAAAUAAAUAAAUAAAAAUAGAUACACUUCAACACGUCCAUACACUCUUUACCAUGAUAUUAUGUAAAAUGUUAUUCUGAAGUGCCAAGACGGCUUCCUUGAAUUGCAAUAGUAUUUCGAUGUCUUGGUAGUUGAAUUUUUCUCAAUGAGCUCCAGGAAACUCUGUAAUUCUGAUUCUUGCCACCAAGUAACUUCAGGGCAGUCUGGAAAGGAUUUUCAAUGUACUUAUGUUCUUGAUGGAAUCUAAUUAUAAUUCUUAAAAACUUUUCAAUGUACUUCUGGCUUUUAAGCAAGCCUUGUCAGAACAAGAGUCUUGUGAUUAAAUUGUUUCUUCAACUCAAAUAGAUCCCUGAAAAUUAGAAAGGGGAGGCUUAUAAUUAAAUAAUAAAUGACACCAGGGGUAACAACUUAUACCCUGAUAAUCUACUAAUAGACUGACAUGCUGUAUCCAAGAAAUUAUUCCACCCCGUUUUUGGGCUGUGUUCAGAAAAUUAUUACAACCCAUUUUUGGGGUUCAACUUCGGUAUUGUUUAUUAUGUUGUUCGCCUUUUUUAAAUUGUGUUUUUUAAAAUAUAUUUUAUAAUCUUAAUGAAAAAAAAUAUAAAAAUAUAUUUUUAAUUAAAAAAUACUUUUAAAAAAGAUCAUAUCUUGCAUUACUAAACACACAUAUAAUAGAAUACUCGAGGGAUUUUUUUAUAAGCCAAGACUAAAUUUAUUAUUGCUAUUAUUUUAAAGUUCAUUCGUAUUUGUAUUAAACACAUACUAAUUUUCUCUUGAAAUAUGAAAGCAAAAUCCAAAAAAAAAUAAAAUGAAUGCUAAUCAAUAAAAAACAUAUGAAUUUUUUUUAUUUGAGAAUAAAGAAUUUUUUAAAUUUUUUUAUAAAUUAAUUAAAAUUAACCAUUAUUUACAUUAUUUAAGAGCAUUAAAGAAAUUUUUUAAAAAAACUUAACAAAUCUAAAAUUAGAAGUUAUUGUAGUUCUAAAUACUUCCGAGUAUUUAAUUAAUUUUAUUUUUGGAUAUGUUUUUAAAAUAUAUUUUAUUUAAAAAAUAUUAUAUUAAGUUUUUAAAUAUUUUUAAUGAUUUUUAUGUAUUAAUAUUAAAAUGGCAUGUCAUUCUCAGUAGAAACAUACAAUUAAAUUUCAUUAACAGCCAUCUCAAGUUCUAUACUAUCUUGCAAGUUGUAUAACAUCAAUGAAAAAUUUUUUAUUUAAAGGGGUUAAAAUGACAUCUUUUUACCAAAAUUGUUUUUUCUAAAAAAAAUUCAAUAAUAUUUAACCAAGUUUUACCCGAGUCCAUAUAAUUUGAAAGUAAUAAAUCAUAUCAAAUUUCUUUAAAUUAUUAAAUUGGAUCCUUAAUUUUUAAUUUGUCAAAUUAUUAAAUUGGAUCUUCAAUCUCUUUUAUAGGGGGUUUGGUAUCACUGCAUAACUUAAUUAUGACACUAUAUAUAGUGAUCAUUUGUGAUAAUUCUGUUGCAGAUUGAAAAUAUUUAGCGACACUAAAAGUGUCGUUAAAUAUGAGAGCCAUUACAUGUUGUUUUUUGUUUUUUGUAGUGCAACGAUAGUAAAACAUGAUGUUAAUUUUAGCAACACACCGUGACCAAAUGCAACGAAGAGAGUCGAAACCUAAUAAUCAAAGAAAAUUAGAUAUUCUAAAAUUGAUAUUGGAUUUUUAAAGAUUCAGAUAUUAGGUUAACAUCACAUUUACUAUAACCUUUUAAAUAAAAAAUUAUCAUUGUUUAUGUUUUUCUAAAUUAUUUUAUGCUAUUAUAUUUUUAUUUAUAAUUUAUUUAAGAAUAGACACCGGUUUCUUAGAAUAAAAAACUUGUAAAAUUUUUUGUCAUCCCUAAAAACCAAAGAGUCCAUAGCUUGUCAUUUUAUGACACUAGCCUUGCUAUGUAUAUACAUAAUCUCCACGGUUUUAAAAACCAAUCUCUAAAAUAGGAGAUUUCAUUAAUUUUUUUACAUUAAUCCCUGAAGACAUGCAGUAGAUUUUGUAAUUUCUUGAAUUUUAAUAAAAACUUUGAUGUUAAUCCCUUAAGAUAGAAGAUUUCAUCACUUUUUAAGAUUUAAUGAAAAUUUUGAUGAUAUUCACUAAAAUAGAAGAUUUCAUCAAUUGUUUCUUUGGCUGCUUAUCCAAGAUAAAGUCUUCAUCCGUGAUUUCUUGUUUCAGCAUGAUUUCUUUUCUCUUCAGCAAGCUAGAUGUAUGUUUUGUAAAAGAAGAUUUGAAACUUCAAGCCAUCUCUUCAUUCAUUGUGUUUUUGCCUGGAAGUUAUGAAUGAAAUUCCUAUUUUGGUGGGGGAAUUAGUGAUUCUUUCCCAAAUUCUAUUGAUGAUAUAAUCUACAAAUGAUGCAAGGAAAAUUUCAGAAUCUUUCAUGAUGACAACUUCUCUUUUCUUGUAUUGCAUGGAGUCUAUGGCUACAUUGAAAUGAUGUAAUCUUCAAUGAUGCUAUUCCAGAUCUUAAGGGUUGUUUUUACUUUAUCGAUCCUCCACAGGUUCUCCUUAUGGUUGAAGUUUGAUAGCACAACUUUUGCUUACACCGGUUUGGAUUUAGGGAUCAACUCUGAUGGGAUCUUUUUCGGGGAUAACAGAAGUUGACUUCUUGUUUUUAUCUAUUGUCUGGUCCCUGUUUUCUUCUUCCUGUUAUAGAGUAGAUACCGUGAUUUAGGGAUCAACUAAGGUUCACUGUUGGUUUCUAUGCAAGGCAAGAUUGAAAGUUCUGUGAAUAUAUGAGUUGGAAGGUUAGAGUAAAUGCUGGAUGGUAUUUUUGAUUUUUCCCUCUCAAUGGCGCUGCUCACCAAUAGCUCGGGUGUAUUUGUGCUGAUGGAGAUGGAACCGAAGCGUAUAUAUUGGCUUUUUUUACUUGCUAAAGAUGGCUAACUCAGUAACAGAAGAGAUUUUCUAUUUCAGCAUGACUACCUUACCCUUAAGGAAUCAAGAUGUGCUUCAUGCAAUAAAAGCUUGGAAUCUUCAAUUCACUUCUUCAUUUAGUAUCACUUCACUUUGAAUAUAUGGAUGAAAUUGCUUUUUAAUCAGGGCUUUUGUAGUGCUUUUUCAAAAUAUAUUGACAAUAUGUGUUACCAAUGGUCUUCCAUGGUUAAAGACAAGCAACAAAAUCUCUUAUAACAGCUUAUUUUCUCAUGUAUUGUAUGGAAUAUGUGGCUCCACUGAAAUGAUGUCAUUUUUAAUGACGCUGCCCCUAACCUUCAAAUCUAUUUUUUCAUGAUGCGUCAAAGUAUUGCUUCAUGGCUGAGGCUUCAUUCUAGCUUUUUAAAGCUUAAUAUAGAGAAUGUUCAGUAGGGAGGAAAUGAUUUUUUAUGUUUUUUAUUUGUUCCUCCUAAUUGUUACGCUCCCUUGUUUCAUGCAGCAGCUUUUAUGCUUUUUUUUUUCUUUAUUUAUUCAUCUAAUGUAAAUUAUGCUAUUAUCUUAAUACCCAUUUUCUUAAUAAAAAUUUCGAUUAUUACCAAAAAAAAAGAUGGCUAACUGUAAUUAGAAUGAUGGUAAAUGUUUCUUCUUUUCACAGUAACAAAUCUCUGAGACCUUACAUCUCUAGUUAAUUAUAACUACCUUACCGGUCAAAAUGUUCUUUUUCUGUACCUGAUGAGUGAUAUUAUUUCUGAGAUUUUUGAACAUGUAAUGACGGAAGCCUGCGUUGGACUGGUUCUCUUUGUUACGUUACUGGAGUCGCAAUGUUUCGAGUUAUCGGACCAAAUUAAUUCUCUUUCUUUUUGCAGCAAAGCUGUAUCUCUUGCUACUUGCUAGAGGCGUAAUCCCAGGCUACCACUGUUUUGGUGUUGCCUCUCUCACCAUUGUUAUUAGGUUGAAUUAAAUACCAGAAGAUUUCUGGAUGUGUAAUGACUGUAUGAUUAAACUUACCAAUGCACUGUCAAGGCUGUGGCGCGUCAACUGCAUGUGCCGGCGGGCGUCACCAUUGUUCCACCAUGUGCCGUUGUAGCCACUAAGUGGCCAAGAUUUUUUAAAUGAGAAGGUAAAUUACUAAUAAAUAUUUGAUAUUAUGUAUUAUGUAUACAUGCAUUAUAUAGAAAAAUCAAUUUGAAAUAUAUGUACUAACUCAUAUUAAAUGAAAUUAAUUUAAGAGUACUUUUAAAAUGAUAAAAAAAUUACAUUAUAAUUGUUCUUUUCGGGUUUUUAUAUUUUGAAACUGUUUCAUAAUAACUUCAUUAUCAAUCUCAUUAAAGAUAUUUUUCUAAAUUUAUAUAAUUAAAUUGUCAUUUAUCCACUUAUCUCCUAUCUUAUAUUGCAAUCUACUCUUGAAAACAUUCAUGACAGAUAAAACUAUUUUCACUAUAGCAGUUACAACUAGUAAAAAUAAUGACAAUUUGAUAAGUAUAUAUACCAAUAAAAAUAUUAAAUUCUUCUUUGUUUUUACCAUUUAAUUUCUCCUCAAGACUAGCGGCAAUAAAAAGUUCUCUCUGACUAGAAAGUUUCAAAUGGUAGAAGGUAAACUCUUUAAUAUUACAGAGGAGCUAAUGAAUCAAAGAAUCGAACAUAGAAAGUUUUGAUGGUAUAAACACAAACCACGGAAGCAGCAAUAAAAAGUGCUCUCUGGCUCUAUGGUUUCCUUCUUUAUAUGCGUUGAUUAGUUUUUUUUUUUGCCAUAGAAUAAAAUCAUCAGAUGUCCCUUUACUUCUUUAUCUGUUAAACAUGAAUAAAAGAAAAAUUUGAGACAACCAGCUUAUAAUUCAAACACCAAAAGUGUUUUUUAAUAGAUUCAAAGAUUAAAAAAAAUUACUUUGAACUUUGCAAGGAGAGAAUGUAGAUAGUCACAGUAGAACACAUUAAUAUAUUGUCUCUUGAUUUUUUAUCUUUUACAAAAUAUAACUUAAGUUAUUAUAUUAAUAUUUUAACGUAAAAAUUAAUUUUUUUUUUAAAAGAAGGGGGCAGCUGGCCCCUUAUGCCCCAGUGGCUCCGCCCCUGGCAGCCACCACCAAUUCCAGCAGCUCCAGCUUUUUUCUCCAUUUCCUCAUGUCCAAAUUUCAAGCUCAGCAUGACAUUUUGAGUUUAUUUUUCAUGAAUUAUGUUUGUAUUUUGACAAAUCCAACAAUUAUGAUUUGAUUUAGUUGUUUCUGGUUAUGGGACACAAUGUGGUUUUUUUUAUUAAAAACAAAAAACAGAGAGAAUGCAAGAAAGAAAGUCACAGCUACAUUUGAUAGAAUAAAUGUAAGUAGGAAAUAAAAUCCAACUCAAGAAUAGUUACAAAUGAGUUCAAUCCAUUUACAGAAAAAGGGUAUAUAAAAUAUAUUGGUCUGAAGAAUCCUCUGUCUGGAAGUUCUUUGAAUGGGGCUGUGAUGGCAUUUAGAAAGCAGAGGAACUAGGGGGCUUGUAGCAGAAAUCAUAUUUAUUGUUGAAGAUUUUUUUGUGUUCGGUUUAGAUAACUUUAUUUGGAUUUAAUCCACAAUGGGUAUCAUCUCUUAUAGAUGAAUGGUUAAGCUUCCAAGUCUACCAUUCUCUCAUGUAUUUGGAUUUAAUCCACUGAAACUGAGGUUUAAGAAUUUCUUGUUGUGAAUUGCAGAAAACAGUUGAUUGAUCUUCACUAGGAUGGCAAUUGGAAAUGAAUGGAGGAAGCAUCAAGAUCAGUGGCUUGUUUGAAGGCAGAUAGACCCUUUGAUCGUGAGAUGAUGCCUUUAGAUGAGAAAGGAUGUGAGAAAGGUAUAUCACAGCUGCAUUUGAUAGAAUAAAUGGUAAGUAGUUUGUUUUUUAAUUAAGUAUUUCAAUAUGGCAAAGAUAGGGUGUAAUUUACCAUACUUUAGUCUUAUUCCAUUCAAUAUAAUUAUGGAUACUAUAGAGCAUAUACGUACUUUGAUCUUAAUUAGUCCUUGGCUUAAAACGAAUUUGGUGCAGAUACAGAUUCUAAAGACGUCCAACUCCAACAAGCCCUAAAAGGACAUCAUUGGAUAAAUACCAAGGAGCUUGUGCAUGAGCAUUGUUUUGUUCACUCUGUGGCAGAGGCCUCUCCACAACUUCUCAGCAGGAAAGCUAUUAUUUAAGUUGCAACGCAGUGCGGUUCUAUAAACUAACUAGUUUAUAGCAAUUGCAAAUGAAUGGACCCUUUGAUCGUUAGAUUAUGCCUUUAGAUGAGGCUCGACAUUAUAGAGGCAUAAAAGAGAGAGAGAUACAUCACAGCUGCUUUUGAUAGAGUAAACAGGUCACAUAUUAUUUACACUCAACCUUAGCAAACACCAAAGCAAAUAAUUAAUACACUCAAAGCGAAAAAAUAAUGUGAGAAAUCUUUUACCAAACUGCACCCAUCUUCUCAUCCCCGUAACGAUUCGUUAGAAUGGGGCUCCUUCUUAUGAUUAAUUCCUGUAGAGGCGCUGCCAAAACAUAGUCUGGUAGUGCUCUCAACAACGGGCAAGUAUCAAUAAUCAACUCUUGAAGUUGUGUUGGCAUCUUCUUCUCCCACUCUCCUUUCAAUUCCAUCCCACUCUUCUACUUCUGUGAGAUCCAUAAUCCAAAGUUUUUUCAAUUUGGGGAAAGCAGUGACCCUUGCAAUUUCUCCUUCACUAAUACUGGCAUUCUCAUCUUUUUCUAUACCUAAAAAUCCAGCAUCCAGCCUUCUCACCUUCAUCGACCUCAAUACCAGGCUUUCAUGGUUGGGCAAUCUUCCCAACGGAGGCAAGACCUCCACGUUUGUACAAAGACCGAGUGUAAGCACCUGUAAUCUGGUUAAUGUCAUCAUCCAAUUUGGCAAAUCCAACCCUCCGUACCUAGUUAUGGUUAGAUUUUCCAAGGAUGACGGAGGCUGUAAAACUUCAAUUAAAAUGUUGUUCUCCCGGUUGAAGUUGAAAUCCAAUUGCAAACAAAGUAGGCGAUUCUUAUUCUUGAGUUGUACUUCUUUCAUUGUCUUUUUCUACUCUUUCAUAAUUUAAGGCACUUCUUUCUUCUUUUAGCUAGAAACAUAAUGCAGAUGCAGAGAGUGAAGAGUCGACAUGCAGAUGCAGGAACAUAGGAAGAGAGUUGUUUGGUUACUAAAAUAAGGGCUAGGGUUAUGAAAUCUGGAAAUUGAAAUUCGGAUCGAAAUUAGUGAGGAAAUCAGCAUGCUAGAUUCAGCAGCGUUUGGGGUCAGAAUGGCAUUGUUGGGAAUAAGACAACAAAUUAUGCGUAGCUUAGCAGCCAUUGUUGCUGCUUCAGGAACACCAAACUCCCUUGUCAAAAAACUGCAUUCAUAUGCAUUUUGCAAUUAAGGCAUUAUGCUUUAAACUCAUUCUAUUUGCCUUCCCUCACACAAAAAAGAAAAAAAAAAGGUUAUUUGCUGUCGUCACUGGAUUAGUUUCAAACCCAAAAGUCUCGUUGCGUUCUGUUUCAAUUCAGUCAGUCUUUAUUAGUCAAUGCUUCGCUGCACUGAAAAAACACCAUAUGCACCUCAUUGCAGAGUGAGGUCAUAUGUCCUACAAAAAUGGAUUUUGAACAUAAUAAUUAGAAGGAAAAAAAAAUUAAAAGUGAGCAUAAUUGAUCAUCGUGGAUAUAAUAAUAAUAUUUAAUAAAAUGAAUUAGCUUGUUAACUCCUAGAAGUUUUUAUAAAAACUAAUCUUGAAGUACAAGUAAUCCCUUCGCUCAUCAACUUCGCUGUGAAAAAGCCCAGAGUACUCAGCUUGGGCUUGUGUUCCCUCAUUAUGACUUGGUGAAUUGGGCAAUCUAAAUACUUUUGGGCUCUGUGUUUUAAUGGGUUCCAAGGGGAAGAAAACACAACGAUUCUUGAACAAGGAUUUGUGUCCCGUGCGCACUUGAACGAUGGGGGUCUGUUUGCAUUUUGUCAAAAGAGAUGAAAUUCUAAUCAAUGAUGAUGAUGAAAAAAAUAAAUAUAUAAAUUACUAUGUGCAUUCUAUAAUUUAGUUAUAUAAUAUAGUAGAUCUUUACAAAUUAGUAAUUUCAACUUACCAGUAGAAAAAUUAUAGUAGAUCUUUACCAUGAUAUUAUCGAAAUAAAUAAAUAAAUAAAAAUAGAUACACUUCAACACGUCCAUACACUCCUUUUUUAAAAAAUAAUUAUAAUAAAAUUAAUUAGUUAUUAAUUAUAAAAAUCAGACCUAUGAGUUAUGUCUAAGCUGUUGAAAAUAGUAAAGAUAAAGUAAUUAGAAGUGACAAUGAAAUUAUUAGUUGAUCAUCGAGUUGUUUUACUAGAAUCCAAAUCACUUAGCUCAAAUUACUAAUAACAAUUAUAAAUUUACACCAAAUUUGAACAAAUUUCUACCAGCCGAUGUGACUAAACUCAAAUCACUCCUAGGAAUCUUAAUAUAAACCCAUUUACUACUAGACCAGCACCUCUUUGGCUAAAAUCCACGUUGCUUUCCCACACCAAUCAUCAGCUUCUUCAAUUACAGUGCUACAAGUCCAUGUCUCUAUACCUAUUGUAACAUAUUCUACAAACAUACUGUUUUACUGUAGACUGCAAUGUUUUAAGUGUUUUUUUUUUAUUAAGUUGUUUUAUUUUUUUUAACGGUUUUUUUUAUGUCUUUCAGAAUAUUUUUUUUGCUUCGUUCUUUGUUUUUUUUUCUUUUAACAAAAGUUUUUUGUUUAAUUUAGUUUAUUAAUGUUUAAUUUUUUUAUUUAUUUAUCAGACUUUCAUGAUACAUUUUCCAGAUUUAACGGGUUAACCUGGUUUGACAAGUUAACCCAUAAUUUUUUUUUUUGCUUUUUUUAAAUUAAUUUUUUUGCUUUAGUUUAUUUUAUUAAUGUUAAAUUUCUUUCUAUUUAGUUAUCAGACUUUCAUGACAUAUAUCUAGAGUUUCACGGGUUAACACGGUUUGACGGGUUAACAUGGAUUUUUUAUUAUUUUUUUCUUUUUAAUUAAUUUUUUUCGUUUAGUUCAGUUUGUUAAUGUUCACUUUUUUUUUUAUUUCGUUACCAUACAUUCAUGACACAGAUCCCGGGUUUAACGGGUUAACCUGGUUUGACAAGUUAACCUGAAAUUUUUUUUUUUUGCUUUUUUUUUUUUAAAUUUAGUUUAGUUUGUUAAUGUUAAAUUUCUUUCUAUUUAGUUUUUUUUUCUUCAUAGAGGUUUUUUUCUUUUAUUUUUUCUUUUUAAUUAAUUUAGUUUAUUAAUAUUAAAUAUUUUUCUAAUUAGUUCUCGGCUAAUGCCUUUAGUUUUUCUUUUUGUUUCUUUUUGUUGUUUUUUUGCCUUUGACUGUGGACUGCACAAUGCAGUCCACAAUAAAAAGGUUGAUGCCUUUUGUUUUUUUUUUCUUUUUAAUUAAUUUUUUUUGUUUAAUUUAAAUUAUUAAUGUUAAAUUUUUUUUCUAUUUAGUUAUCAAACUUUCAUGAUACGAAUUCUGAGUUUGACAUGUUAACCUGAUUUGACGAGUUAGCCCAGUCAACUCAAUGAAUCACACAGAUAAAUUACACGGAAUCAGUAAAAUCAAAAUAAAACGUGUUAAUCUACUUUCUUAUGUUAUGAAAGGAGAUGAAUCCAACAAAAACAUAAUAAGCCACAGUUAAUUUUUUUAUCUUUGAGAUAAAAAAAUAUUUUUGAAAAAAUUAAAUUUUUUAUUAAUUUAUAAUUUAUUUAUAUUUUAAAAUAAUUUUAAUGUAUUAAUAUUAAAAAUUAAUUUUUAAAAACAAAAUUUUAAUUAUUUUUAAAUAAAAAUAUUUUAAAAAAUAAUUAUUAUUUUAAUACCAAAAACGCUUUUGCCUGCUUGGGAGUUAUGGUUGCGGUUGCUUUUCAAAAUGUUUUUUAUUUAAAAAUGUAUUAAAAUGAUGUUUUUUUUAUUUUUUUAAAAUUAAUUUUUAUAUCAGUGCAUCAAAAUAAUCUGAAAAAACUAAAAAAAUAUUAAUUUAAAUAAAAGAAAAAAAUUAAAAUUAAAUAAAUAUUUUUCAAAACGUUUUUAAAACAUAAAAACAAAUAGAAAUAAAUGCUAAAAUAGGAAAACAAACCAACUCUUUAUUAAAUGACAUUAUUUUUGAGAUUUUAUAUAUAUAUAUAUAUAUAUAUAAAAACUUUGGUGGACACACCAAUCAAUCCAUUCGAUUGGCCACCCAAUCUUGGGCAAGAUCGACCGUGGGUUGUAUCUUAUUACUAUGGUGAUAAGUAAUCACUCGAAAGUUCAAAACUAGCUUGACCCAUAAGAAUAUAUAUCGGAAUAAGUUAAGACUAUGAUGCCAACUUUAUUUUUUUAAAAAAAUAAAAGGCAUAAAUCAUUAAUAAAAAUCUAAAAGGUAUGAAAUUUUUAUUAUGUGUGUACCAUUGUUCACCCUUCCAUAUUUUAUUAUAGAUAAUCUAUUGUUUAAAAUUUUGUCUUUUUAAUCUGGGCCUUGAUUUUUUUUACACGAUUGCAUUCUUUUUUAACCAAAUUAAAAAGCAACUUUAUCAAAUUCGCCGACUACUGAUAAAAUUAAAAAAGAGAGGACUAAAAUAGAAAAGGUGCAAUAAAUGGAUGAUGAUUUCAAAGUUCACACAAAAAAUCAAUUUAGUCCUCACACUUUAAAAAUUAUACAUAUUCGAUUUUUCAAUAUUUUUUUAAAUUCAAUUUUAGUAUAAAAUUUCACUUUUGUUAUAUUAUAGUUCAUGGUUUGAGAGAUAAGAGAGCAAGGUCACCGGAUUCCAAAUCUAGACAAAAAAUAUUGUUGGCGUCGAUUUUGACCAUAAAAAUGAUCGAUUUAUAUGUCAAAUGAUUUCAUUUGAUGAUGGGAUUUCAGCUUAAGUGUUUUUUACUUUAAAAAUAUAUAUGGGCUCAAGAGAUUGUUCAUUUUUGGUUGAUUUUGAGUUUUGAGAUAGUUUUUUUUAUGUCAUAGACAUGUUUAUCAAAGUUCAUAUGUUUUUUUCUAGGUAUUUUGGGUAAAAAAAAAUUAAAAAUGAGUUUUUGAAUGAAAAAACCUCAAAUCUUGAUUUUUCUGCCACCACAAUAAUCAAAAUAUGAGGAAAAUCAUACGAUGCAUCAUCUAAUUUAAUUUUCUUUCAAAAAGAAAGGAGGGGGGGGGGGACUUUGCAAUGAAAGAGAAUUAUGGGUCUAAGCAUGUGGGCCUACCUUGACAGACUUGUACACGGGCCCUAACAAGAUUAGUCGAAUGGGGUGGCUCGGCUUGUCAAGCCUAGUAACACUUGAGCUUUUUUUUUUUUUUUUUAAAUUAAUACUUUUUUAUAUUCUUUUUUUCAAGUUUAAUAUUUUAUUUAUAAUUAAAUUAAUAUAUUUUCUCUCUUUUAUUUUGUUGAUAUAGCCUCUUUAAAAUUACAAUUAUUUUUUAAUUAUUUUGUAUGCAUUUAUUUUUAAAAUAUAUUAUUAUAAUUCAUCUAUAAAUGUUUUUUGUGUUUUAUAUGAAUAAAAAAUAUUUAUUUAUUUAUUUAUAAUAUUUCUAACAUGUGUAAUCUUACAUGAUAUUGUUUUUAAUUCAAUCAAUUUUACAUGUAUUUAUUUUUAUUAUUGUUUAAUUGAAUGAAAAUUUGAUUUUGAUAAACAAUGAUAUUUAAUACAAUCAGAUGAAAUGCUUGUAUUGUAAUGUUAAAGAUCUUGAUUUAUAUAUGUUUAUCGAUAUUUCAAUUUUAUCUUUAUUUAUUGUUAAUAAUAUUUUAUUUUUUAUUUUUUUAAUACACAUUAUUCUCAAUAUAUUUGAUUAUAUUUAUGCAUCAGUUUUUUUUUAUGCUUAUAAUUUUUUUUAUGUACAAAUACAUGUUGGAAAAAUCUUCAUAUAUCAUUUUUUUAUAUAUAAAAAAUAUGUUUGAUGCACUAACACGUGAGAGCUUUCACUUUUAAUUUGCAUAAUAAAAGAUUUGUUUUUGUCCUUUUUUUUUUUAUUGAUCCUUUUAAUAUUGCACUGAUCUUAUAUUGAUUUUUACGAUUUGAUUUUAUGCCAAUGAUGGGACCUUUUAGUGCUGGGGAAAUAUUACGUGCUUGGUUGAUUCUCAAUUUUUAAUAAAAUCAAAAUCAAUUGCAUUCGUAUAAAAGAACUAGAAAUUCAGGUAUUGGAAUUGAAAGACUAAAUAAAUGUGCUAUUCCUUUUGUUUGCUAACAUUGAGAAUUGAUUUGCAUAUUCAAUGAAAAAAAAAUCAAAUUCAAUUUUAGCAGUGGAUUGAUUGCCAUGAUCUAGCUAGCAGAAUUUGCUAGUGUUUUUUUAAUUAAUUUUUUAAUUUAAUCAUUUUAUAUUUAAAUUGUUGAAAUUUGACAUAAUAAUUUUUUUGUAAUUGCUUUGUGGGGUUAUUUUAACAUUAUAACUUGAGUUAUGGUUUUAACAUACUAAUUAAAGUUGAUUCGAAUUAAUUUUUAUAUAUUGAAUUAUAUAAGAAUUGAAUUUGUAAUUAUUCUUUUGCGAGAACUUUUUUAAGCAGGUCACGCUAACCUUUUUUUUAUCUUAGCCUGCAACGGCAUAACACGAACAAUCUAUCUAGUGUUAUUACUGAAAGAUCACAUGGCCAACCCAAAAAGUUCACGAAGAACACACAAUCAAAAACGCAAAAAAACAAAAGGGUUUCUUGAAUUUCAACCAAAGAAUAUAACAAAACCGAUAAAACAAAAUAAUAAAUGUUUACUUACAGAAGAUUCAUCGACUAAAAUAGAUGGCAAUUUCUUCUCAGUUGCAAUAACAACAACGUUUGCCGCUACAACACCAAAAAAAUAAUAAAAUCAACAACAUAGUACAUUCGAAAAUGACAAGAAAAUGAGAUGGUAGAAGAAACCAAAGCGAAGAGGUCACAUAGAGUAAAUGGUAAGAAUUAACACCAAAGCAAAUAAUUAAUACACUCAGAACCAAAUCUUUUACCGUUAAGAAUUAAUACUGGUAGAAGAAUUUACCUCUAUAUCAUCAAAAUUAAUAUUUGGGAUGUGAGAAAUCUUUUGCCAAUCUUCACCCAUCUCCUCCUUCCCGUAACGUUUCCUUAGAAUGGAGCAACCAUUUAUGUAUAAUUCCUGUAGAGGCGCUGCCAAAACAUAGUCUGGUAGUGCUCUCAACAACGGGCAAUCAACAAUCAUCAACUCUCGAAGUUGUGGCAUAAUGGAUAUUAUUGAAGUUGUGUUGGCAUCCCACUCUUCUACUUCUUGGAGAUGCCAAAAACCAAGAUGUUUUAAUUUGGGGAAAGCAGUGACCCUUGCAAUUUCUCCUUCAUUAAUACUGCCAUUCUCAUCUUUUUCUAUACCUAAAAAUCCAGCAUCCAGCCUUCUCACCUUCAACGAGCUCAAUACCAGGCUUUCAAGGUUGGGCAAUCUUCCCAGCGGAGGCAAAACCUCCAGGUUUUCACAAUCAAAGAGUUCAAGCCCCUGUAAUCUGGUUAAUGUCAUCAUCCAAUUUGGCAAUUCCAACCCUCCGUAACUAGAUAUGGUUAGAUAUUCCAAGUAUGACGGAGGCUGUAAAGCUUCAAUUAAAGAGCCUUCAUUCGCUUGCAACUCUGUUUUCUCUCUGUCGAAAUACAAUCGCAAACGAAGCAGGCGCUUCUUAUUCUUGAGUUGUGCUUCUGCAGCGUCACUCGCAUCUUCUUUACCUCCUCCUAGAUUCCGUAUAGUAAGACUCCCUCCAAUGUGAUUUAAGUCUUUUAAUUCUCUUAGAUUAGCUGCUUUACUUUCAUUCUCACCACCACCACACACAAUAAACAAAUCUAAUGUUUGAAGACAUGUUAUCCUCUCUAUUCCCUUUGGUAUGAAGACCACUCCUGAACCAAAAAUCCGGAGAUGCCUCAAUUUGAUAAGUUUUCCAAUCGUCUUGGGCAAUUCCUUGAGAGACCGACAGAAAGUAACAUCUAGGGAUUGCAGAUUGCAUAAAUCACAACUGGUUUCUGGCAGGGACUCCAACUCUCCACAUUGUGCCAAAUUGAGGUGUCUCAAAUGUAUCAAUUUCCCUACCUCGUUUGGUAUUUCUUUGAUUGAAGACCCUGACAAAUUCAAUGACCUGAUGCAUGUCAACUGCUUGAACAAAUCAGGCAGUGCAGCUCCAAGCGAAGGGUCUCUAGUGUCGAUCAAGAGGCUGCGAAGACCUUUUGCUUUGUGAAUGGACUUGGGAAAAGAGGUCUCCUCUGACAGCAUCAUGCUUAAAUGACGAACCCUUUCAAUUGAAGUCUCCAUUGUUGCUUCUCCAAGUGUAUUGACAUCCACUGUUAGACAUUCAUUUUUUGUCAUAUAUUGGGCAAAAUCAUGCACUAUAUCAUGCAUCUUGAAUCUAAUAUCUUCUCGAUCAUACGUCUCAAAAUCUUGGAAGAAAGAGCGCGCUGCCAAGACUUGAAAGUACUGCUCUCCUACAAGCUCCAUAUCUCCACCUGAAGUCUCCUUGAGGUAACCUUGAGCCAUCCACAUCUUCACCAAUUCAUAUUUUCCCAUCUCGUAGUCUUUUGGAAACAUGGCACAAUACAAGAAACAUCGUCUUACCACAGAAGGUAAAUCGUAGUAACUCAAAAGCAAAGGUAUAAAUAUUCGUCUUUCAACCUGAUCUCUAUCAACCUCAUCUAGCCUCCACAGUUCGCUAGAUAAAACACGAUCCCACUCUUCUCUUGUUCUUUUAGACUGCAUUAGACCUCCUAAUACCUUGGCAGCUAGAGGCAAGCCCUUGCACUUGUUUGCAAUUUUAUCGCCGAUAUCUGUCAAUCUUUCGCGCUCAUCUUCGCUUCUUUCCUGGAAUGCCACAUGAUUGAAUAUUGACCUGCAUAUCUCAUCGGACAAUUUCUCAAUGUUGAUCCGGUGGUCAGUUCCCAUCAUCGUUGCCACAGCGUCCUUACGAGUGGUCACUAGAAUUCUGCUUCCUCGUGCACAGCCUGUGAGAGAUGGUUUCAGUUGUUCCCAUUGUCCAUGAUUUUCUGUCCAGACAUCAUCAAGGACAAGAAGGAACCUCUUUCCCUUAAUGGAUUCAGAAACCCUUCGCAAAAGGGAUUGCAAUCCUACCAAAUCAGAUGCCCUCCCUUCAAGCUCCUCCAGGAUAGCUUUGGCUAUUCUAACCUCAUCAAAUGGUUCUGAAACACACACCCAUAUCUUUUUCUCAAAAUGAGCCGUAACCUCUGA